rnacentral:lncRNA from 1 species
GAUUAUGGAAUAAGGAGUGGCAAGAGCCUAAUCUUGGGGAUGCCCAAGGCACCCCAAGGUAAAAUUCAAGGACGACCAAAAGCCUAAGCUUGGGGAUGCCCCGGAAGGCAUCCCCUCUUUUCGUCUUCGCCUAUCGGUAACUUUACUUGAGGCUAUAUUUUUAUUCACCACAUGAUAUGUGUUUUGCUUGGAGCAUCUUGUAUGAUUUGAGUCUUUUCUUUUUAGUUUACCACAAUCAUCCUUUCUAUACACACCUUUUGGGAGAGACACACAUGAAUCGGAAUUUAUUAGAAUACUCUAUGUGCUUCACUUAUAUCUUUUGAGCUGGAUAAUUUUGCUCUAGUGCUUCACUUAUAUCUUUUAGAGCACGGUGGUGGUUUUAUUUUAUAGAAAUUAUUGAUCUCUCAUGCUUCACUUAUAUUAUUUGAGAGUCUUCUAGAACAGCAUGGUAAUUUGCUUUGGCUAUAAAAUUAGUCCUAAUAUGAUAGGCAUUCAAGAUGGGUAUGAUAAAAACUUUCAUAUAGAGUGCAUUAAAUACUAUGAUAAAUUUGAUACUUGAUAAUGGUUUUGAGAUAUAAAGGUGGUAAUGUUAGAGUCAUGCUAGUUGGGUAAUUGUGAAAUUGAGAAAUACUUGUGUUAAAGUUGGCAAGUCUCGUAGCAUGCACGUAUGGUGAACGUUGUGUGACAAAUUUGAAGCAUGGGGUGUUCUUUGAGUGCUUUCCUUAUGAGUGGCGGUCGGGGACGAGCGAUGGUCUUUUCCUACCAAUCUAUCCCUCUAGGGGCAUGCGUAGUAGUACUUUGCUUCGAGGGCUAAUAAACUUUUGCAAUAAGUAUAUGAGUUCUUUAUGACUAAUGUGAGUCCAUGGAUCAUACGCACUCUUACAUUUCCGCAAUUUGCUAGCCUCUGCGGUACCGUGCAUUGCCCUUUCUCACCUUGAGAGUUGGUGCAAACUUCGCCGGUGCAUCCAAGCCCCGUGAUACGAUACGCUCUAUCACACAUAAGCCUCCUUAUAUCUUCCUCAAAACAGCCACCAUACCUACCUAUUAUGGCAUUUCCAUAGCCAUUCCGAGAUAUAUUGCCAUGCAACUUUCCACCGUUCCGUUUAUUAUGACACACUCCAUCAUUGUCAUAUUGCUUUGCAUGAUCAUGUAGUUGACAUCGUAUUUGUGGCAAAGCCACUUUCAUAAUUUUUGCAUACACGUCGCUCUUGAUUCAUCGCAUAUCCUGGUACACCGCCGGAGGCAUUCAUAUAGAGUCAUAUUUUUGUUCUAGUAUCGAGUUGUAACAUUGAGUUAUGAGUAAAUAAAAGUGUGAUGAUCAUCAUUAUUAGAGCAUUGUCCCAUGUGAGGGAAGGAAGAAAAAAAAGAGGCCAAAGAAUCCCAAAUAAAAAAAUAGGCCAAAAAAGCCCAAACAAAAAAAAUGAGAGAAAAAGAGAGAAGGGACAAUGUUACUAUUCUUUUUCCACACUUGUGCUUCAAAAUAGCACCAUGAUCUUCAUGAUAGAGAGUCUCUUGUUUUGUCACUUUCAUAUACUAGUGGGAAUUUUUCAUUAUAGAACUUGGCUUGCAUAUUCCAACGAUGGGCUUCCUCAAAUGCCCUAGGUCUUCGUGAGCAACCAAGUUGGAUGCACACCCACUUAGUUUUCAGUUUGAGCUUUCAUACACUUAUAGCUCUAGUGCAUCCGUUGCAUGGCAAUCCCUACUCCUCGCAUUGACAUCAAUUGAUGGGCAUCUCCAUUGCCCGUUGAUUAGCCACGUCAAUGUGAAACUUUCUCCCUUUUUUGUCUUCUCUCAUAAACCCCAUCCUCAUGUGCUAUUCCACCUACAGUGCUAUAUCCAUGGCUUGCGCUCAUGUAUUGCGUAAGGGUUGAAAAGGCUGAAGCGCGUUAAAAAGUAUGAACCAAUUGCUCGGCUUGUCAUCGGGGUUAUGCAUAAUGGGAGCAUUUUGUGUGACGAAAAUGAAGCAUGGCCAAACUAUAUGAUUUUGUAGGGAUGAGCUUUCUUUGGCUAUGUUAUUUUGAUAAGACAUAAUUGCUUGGCUAGUAUGCUUGAAGUAUUACUAUUUUGAUGUCAAUAUUGAACUUAUAUCUUGAAUCUUUUGGAUCUGAACAUUCAUGCCACAAUAAAGGAAUUACAUUGAAAAUUAUGUUAGGUAGCAUUCCACAUCAAAAAUUCUGUUUUUAUCAUUUACCUACUCGAGGACGAGCAGGAAUUAAGCUUGGGGAUGCUUGAUACGUCUCCAAUGUAUCUAUAAUUUUUUAUUAUUCCAUGCUAUUAUAUUAUCUGUUUUGGAUGUUUAAUGGGCUUUAUUAUGCACUUCUAUAUUACUUUUGGGACUAACCUAUUAACCGAAGGCCCAGUGCAAAUUGUUGUUUUUUUGCCUAUUUCAGUGUUUCGCAGAAAAAGAAUAGCAAACGGAAUCCAAACGGAAUGAAACUUUCUCGAGGAUCGUUUUUGGAACAAACGCAAUCCAGGAGACUUGGAGUGGACGUCAAGGAAGCAACGAGGCGGCCACGAGGUAGGGAGGCGCGCCCCCACCCUCGUGGGCCCCUCGUGGAUCCACCGACCUACUUCCUUCGCCUAUAUAUACUCAUAUACCCUGAAAACAUCCAGGAGCACCACGCAACCCUAUUUCCACCGCCGCAACCUUCUGUACCCAUGAGAUCCCAUCUUGGGGCCUUUUUCGGCUCUCCGCCGGAGGGGGAAUCGAUCACGGAGGGCUUCUACAUCAACACCAUGGCCUCUCCGAUGAUGUGUGAGUAGUUUACCACAGACCUUCGGGUCCAUAGUUAUUAGCUAGAUGGCGUCUUCUCUCUCUCUCUCUUUGGAUCUCAAUACAAAGUUCUCCUCGAUUCUCUUGGAGAUCUAUUCGAUGUAAUUCUUUCUGCGGUGUGUUUGUCGAGAUCCGAUGAAUUGUGGGUUUAUGAUCAAGAUUAUCUAUGAACAAUAUUUGAUUCCUCUCUGAAUUCUUAUAUGCAUGAUUUAAUAUCUUUGCAAGUCUCUUCGAAUUAUCAGUUUGGUUUGGCCUACUAGAUUGAUCUUUCUUGCAAUGGGAGAAAUGCUUAGCUUUGGGUUCAAUCUUCCGGUGUCCUUUCCCAGUGACAGCAGGGGCAGCAAGGCACGCAUUGUAUUGUUGCCAUCGAGGAUAAAAAUAUGGGGUUUAUAUCACAUUGCUUGAGUUUAUCCCUCUACAUCAUGUCAUCUUGCCUAAUGCGUUACUCUGUUCUUAUGAACUUAAUACUCUAGAUGCAUGCUGGAUAGCGGUCGAUGUGUGGAGUAAUAGUAGUAGAUGCAGAAUCAUUUCGGUCUACUUGUCACGGAUGUGAUGUCUAUAUACAUGAUCAUGCCUAGAUAUUCUCAUAACUAUGCGCUUUUCUAUCAAUUGCUCGACAGUAAUUUGUUCACCCACCGUAGGAUAUGCUAUCUUGAGAGAAGCCACUAGUGAAACCUGUGGCCCCCGGGUCUAUCUUCCAUCAUAUUAAUCUUCCGUCAAUUAGCUAUUUCCGCCGCCGUUUAUUUUUGUAAUCUUUACUUUUCAAUCUAUACAACAAAAAUACCAAAAAUAUUUAUCUUAUUAUCUUUAUUAGAUCUCACUUUUGCAAGUGCCCGAGAAGGGAUUGACAACCCCUUUAUCGCGUUGGUUGCAAGGUUCUUAUUUGUUUGUGCAGGUACGAGGGACUUGCGUGUAGUCUCCUACUGGAUUGAUAUCUUGGUUCUCAAAAACUAAGGGAAAUACUUACGCUACUUUGUUGCAUCACCCUUUCCUCUUCAAGGAAAAACCAACACAUGCUCAAGAGAUAGCAGUAAUCCUCUCCCAAAACAUGGUCUUGGUUUGAUCCGUCCUGAUCGUUGCAUCCAUGGAGAUGGCACACCAAGUGUCACAAAGCGCAAUCCUUUUGGUUAUAGUUUUGGGUGCGGCUCCUUGAGGCCUUGGUGCUUGCUUCAGUCACCACCACCACCUCCUCCUCGGCCACCACCUCUUGGACCUCGUCCUCGUCCUCCUCCGCAUCUUGGGUGGCCGAAUGACCCCAAAACGAGUCAUAGUUGAGAUCAUUAAGGCCAACGGUGGCCGAGGACUCCAACGACGCAAGGAAUUCAGCCGUGUUCAUCUCCACUCUACAAUGCCAAAGCAAGCACCAUAAACAAUCACUACCGAUAACAAACAAUCACUAUUGAAUACCAACAGGGCGCCAGGUUUUAUUUUUACCUUGUUGGCAUUUCAUCGAGCACUUGGCAGCCGCAUUUUUGUUGCCGGCUACGGCCGCCGCUCGCGCCGAAGCAGUCGCCGUAGGGGCAACCGGAGUUGCCGCACGAGGCGUAGGCUUUGGACGAGGCGCCGCCGCGCUCUUCUUCAUCUUCUUCUUGGCGGCCGCCUCGGCGAGCGCCGACACUGCCGCCAUCGGCUUUCGAGCCCGUUUGCCUCCGGUAUGCGGGAGGGCGGCGUGCCAUUGCCGGAGAGGCGGUGGCCAUCCCGGACACCAUUGGCACGGUUGGAGGUGGAGCUUGGACCCGGUGGUUCUUUGUCAUCCCCAAGCUUUUUUUCGGCACCGGGGGUGGCGCGUGGGUGGGGUGGGGUGGUUGGCUAUCCAUCCCGGCCGGCUCGGAGGUUAUCGGUGGCGACGGCGGGGGCGGGAGGCAGUGUGGCGCAGGGGGCGAGAGGGUUUUUACUCGGCCACCACACGAUGGAGUAUAUUUAUGGAAACUUGAGGGGAAUAGGGAGUUGGAGUAAAAACUAUACUCCAUUAACGUUUUUAGAGGAUCGGCUAGGUCCGUCGUGAGGGAGUAAAUCAAAAAAUUUACUUCCUUGUAACCGUAUUGGGGAUCGGUUAAAAAUGCCCUAAGUACGGAGUGCGCGCUGAAAGAGAAUUACACUGUUUCGGCCAGCGCAAGCAGAGCCUCCCCGAUCGAGACUGAGCACCCAUGUGCUGCCAGCGUUAGUUAUACCAAAGUUUAUAUUCGAUCUGGACAACUGUUCUAGGACAUUGAGAGUGGUCAAAAAACUCUUUCCGUUUUUCGACCAAGGAACAUGCAACAAAAAUGGUCCAAACAGCCAAGUUAAAAAGUAGGAAACCCUUGGGAAACCACUGUAAAGGUUGUCCCAAGAACUCCGAAAACACAAACAUCCAUCUCAUACUCCACAUCAUUUGGAAAAAGAAAAAAAAUCUCGAUCUCCACACACCAUCAUAGUUACAGCGGCAGAUCAACUCAUUACUCAUGCCCAGCCUGAUCAGUAGGAGCCGAGCUGCGUGAUCUUGCCGCCGAGCUGCCUCUGCGCGUAGGCGAAGAGCCGGCCGGCCUCCUCCUUGCCGACGGUACCGUCGCGGUUGGCGUCCGCGGCCUGCACCCCUUCCCGCGCCUUCCAGGACGCGAACCACAGGUUGAGGCUCCGCAGCGCGCGCUGCAGCUCGUCCCGGCUGAUCCGGCCGUCGUGGUCCGCGUCAAACUGCCCCAGCCAGUAGCCACGCCCAGAACUCCUCCGCCGUCACCUCCCCCUGCGGCAGCGCACGGUACCGCAUGAACGCCAUCGACAACCCUCCUCCCGCCGGAGCCGGGCACGAACUGCUAGCCUUGGUCGAGUAGCUGCCCUGGCUGCCGCUUCUCUCUGGGUGAGUGCGAGCGUGAGCUGAUGGUGAUGAGGAUGUUGAGCAGCGAUGCACGGUGCUAUAUAUACGGCGGGGAGCAGAGUUGAGGAACAUUUACCGCACGUUUUUCACAACUCCAUGGACGCGCCUUGUCAGUGUGUUUCAUGGGGUGAUUUGGGGUUUAAGAAAUGAGUGGGUCAGUAGUGGGGAUUUGGCUAGGGAAUAAUCAGCGGGGUAGCUUGAAAGUUCAUUCUUUAGAGAACGGUUAGGCGAGUGGCACAUUGUUAAUCUGGAAAUGUAAGGAGCAAAGGGGUUGUAUAUACGAUCAAAUGUUGAGAAUCGACAUAACACUUGCCAAAAAUACAGGAAGCAUACUUGGACGUUGGCCACACUUUGGGGUUCCCAAUCGAUGGGGCCGGGCACAAACAUCUAAAAAAUAAGAGUUGAACACUUCGACUUGCUUGGCUAAUUCCUUUUCAAUCCUCAAUCGGUAAUGUAAAAGAAAAAGUUUCCCGUCUACGCACUUAUUUUAAGAAAGUACUUGUUACAACACUUCUUUUUAGAAAGUACUUGUUACAACACUUUGUUUUUUGAGAAAGUACUUGUUACAACACUUAAAAGGUUAAUUGAGCAUAUUUUCUUGGAGAAGGACCCGGACAUAGUUUCGUCACAAUUUUUUUUGUUGUUGCGAAAAAUGCCCAUAGAAAGAGGUUGCUUGUUUCCUAGCUAAAUUAUCACGUUUAAGGAUGGGCGUGCCGAAAUUUCAGAUGAGCAUUUGAUUGGUUGUCAUAGUUAUGUGCUACCACACUACACAAAACUUGGCUUUUUGGCGAACUUAUAGCUUUGAACCAACCAUGCCAUAAAAGUAGAAGUGUAGUUGAGCUAUACUACCUUCGUCUGGUUUAUUGGGCCUCCUUGAAUUUUGGCUCAAACUUUCACCUUUGAUUUAACUAUCAAAAAAUAGUAUCAUUGAAAACCUCUUCCGUAUAUGAAUCCAACAAUGUAAGUUUUAUGGCACACAACUUAUAUUUUGUUGGUCAAAUCUACGUUAAAUUUUGACACAAAAUACAACGGGGAUCAAUAAACCCGGAUGAAGAUAGUAGGUGGCACCUGGAGACCAAAUUUUAAAUUUAAUGAUUAGCAGCCUCAAAUAUUUUAGGCAAUCCACUUAUCUCUAGCCAUAAGGCGGCUAAUGAUAGGUUAUGAGAAAUUCAUAGAUAGCUCAAGGAUAGUCUUUCUCUUUUGAAUUAUAUGCAUAAUAAAUAGUACUCCCUAUGUAAACAAAUGUAAGAAGAUAUCAACUACUCUUUACUUUUGUAAGGUAUUUAAGAUAGCUGGAAUUCUAUUUUAGGUGUUGUCUUAAAUGUCUAAAACGUCUUACAAAAAUGAACGGAGGGAGUAACCAAAUAUUUAUGACAACAUGAUAUCAAGAGCUCGUCAAGACAUCGAGUAUGCACACAUGAUCAGUAUUACUCUUGCAUCGCAAGAGAAGCUAGACACAGGAGACAAUUCUCUUUUUUUGUUAGAUAUUGAAAUAUUAAUAUCUCCAUCUUCUGUUUCCAUUUUUUCUUCCAGCAAAACUAGGCUUGCAAUACUCUUGAUUGAGCGUAAACUCCACGCCAACGUUUGUGACAUAGCAUUAGCAUGAGUCAGUUUACUCCGUCGAAUAUUAUCAAUGGUCCUCUAUGAGUUAGAGACGUUGUCAAUAGCUCUGAUACUAAAGACUUGGAUCUGAAUGAAGAGUGCUCGGUUAACUAAAGAUUGUCGUGGUUUCUUAAUUUCAGUUUGUCGUGGUUUCUUAAUUUCAGUCUGGAGUCACAUUAUGCAAGUAUUAGAAUAAAAUGAUAAAAAUUCUUGCAAAGGAUGUGUUUAUUUAUAUUUUAUACAGGAAAUGCACCGACGUAUUUUUCAACACUCAACAGGCAAAAUAUAAGCAAAAUAAUCAACAGAGCUUGGAGAAAAUUACAUCAUCUCUAACAACUCUGCAAAUCUCCACAGAGUUCACAGUGCUGAAAAUACAAAGUAGGAAACCCUUGGGAAACCACUUCAAAGGUUACCCCAAGAACUCCGAAAACAUGAACAUCCAUCUCAUACUCCACAUCAUUCGAAAAAAGAAAAAGAAAAAAUCUCAUACUCCCCACAGCCGCGUGUCCGAAGCUGAUAUGAGUACGUCCCACCAUCACAGUCACAUCAGCAAAUCAUCUCGUGCGCAGCCUGAUCAGUAGGAGCCGAGCUGCGUGAUCUUGCCGCCGAGCUGCCUCUGCGCGUAGGCGAAGAGCCGGCCGGCCUCCUCCUUGCCGACGGUGCCGUCGCGGUUGGCGUCCGCGGCCUGCACCCCUUCCCGCGCCUUCCACGACGCGAACCACAGGUUGAGGCUCCGCAGCGCGCGCUGCAGCUCGUCCCGGCUGAUCCGGCCGUCGUGGUCCGCGUCGAACUGCCCCAGCCACGCCCAGAACUCCUCCGCCGUCACCUCCCCCUGCGGCAGCGCACGGUACCGCAUGAACGCCAUCGAUCCUCCUCCCGCCGGAGCCGGGCACGACGUGCUAGCCUUGGUCGAUUAGCUGCCCUGGCCUACUGCUUGUCUCUGGACUCUGGGCGAGUGUGAGACUGUGAGCGUGAGCUGAUGGCGAUGAGGAUGUUGAGCAGCGAUGCAGGGUGCUAUAUAUACGGCGGGGAGCAGAGUUGAGGCGCAUUUACCGCACGUUUUUCACAACUCCAUGGACGCGCCUUGUCAGUGUACAUGUUUCACUUUGGUGAUUUCGAGUUUAAGAAAUGAGUGGGUCAGUACUCAGUAGUGGGGAUUUGGCUGGGGAAUAAUCAGCGGUGUAGCUUCAAAGUUCGUUCUUUAGAGAACGGUUAGGCGAGUGGCACAUUGUUAACCUGGAAAUGUAGAGCACAAAGGGGUUGUAUGAUCAAAUGUUGAGAAUCGACGGAACACUUGCCAAAAGUAUAGCAAAGCAUACUUGGACGUUGGCUACACUUUUUUGGGAUGCCCAAUUCGGUGGGGCUACAAACAUCUGAAAAAUAAGUUCAACACUUCGACUUGCUUGGCUAAAUCCUUUUCUUCAAUCCUCAAGCGGUAAUGUAAAAGAAAACUUCCUCAGAAAAAAAGAACUAAUGAGACUACGUACUUGUUUUAAGAAAGUACCCCCUCAUAGCUUGCAAAAACGUCAUAUAUUGUAUGUGGUGAAUGUGGUGAAUGUGGUGGCGGCCGAGGCCGAAGCGAUGCACCAGGGUAUUCUAUUUAUACGCGGCCUUGGGUGUGACAAGAUCUUGAUUCAAUCUGACAACUUGAUCGUCGUAGAUGCUUUAAAUAUGAAGGAACGGUAUGCUCUGGUGGCGGCACCAAUUCUUGAGGAUUGUCAUAGCUUGCUUAAAGAUUUUGGGAAGGUCAUUAUCGAACAUUGUAGUAGAGUCGAACAUGGUUGCUCAUGAGUUAGCUAGUUUUGGGAGGGGUAAUCCACCGAUGGUGUGGUCGGAUACACCUCCUUCUUUUAUUCUCAUUGCUUUAGCAAACGAUGUAAGUGUGAUAUGAGUUAAUAAAGCAGCCAUGAAGGCCUUCCCCUCAAAAAGAAACGUCAUAUAUUGUAGGACAGAGGAAGUACUUGCUACAACACUUAAAACCUUAAUUGAUAAUACUCCCUCCAUUUCUAAAUAUAAGCCUUUUUAGAUAUUUUAAUACAGACUACAUACGAAGCAAAAUGAGUGAAUUUAUAGUCUAAAAUAUGUCUAUAUACAUCUAUAUGUGGUAUGUAUUUGAAUAUCUAAAAAGUCUUAUAUUUAGAAACGGAGUGAGUAUUUUCUUGAAGGACAUGGACAUGGUUUUGUGACAAGUUAUAUUUUUGUUGCGACAAAGGCCCAUAGAAAGAGGUUGCUUGUUUCCUAGCUAAAUUAUCACGUGUAAGGAUGGGUGCGCCGAAAUUUCAAGCGAGUGUUUGAUUGGUUGUCAUAGUUAUGUGUUGCCACACUUAACUACUCACAACUUGGCGUUUUGGCAAAGUUAUAGCUUUGAAUCAACCAUGUCACAAAAGCGAGGCGAGCAGCUUGCCUGGGGCCAUGGAUGGUCCUCGGCGAUUUCAACCUAAUCCUUAGAGCUUCGGAGAAAAACAACUUGAAUCUUAACAGGGCCAUGAUGAACAAGUUUAGGAGCUUCGUCGACAAUAACGAACUUAAAGAGCUCUACAUGCAUGGGCGUCAUUUUACGUGGUCGAACGAGAGAGAUGCCCCGACAAUGACUAAAAUCGACAGGAUCCUCGUCUCGGUGGAUUGGGAAUUGGCGCGGCCAGACUACCUAUUGCAAGCACUCUCGACUAGCGUUUCUGAUCAUGCCCCACUCCAUCUUUCGACAAAUGCUACUUACUGGCCGAGGAAAAGAUUUCGAUUUGAGAGCUUUUGGGUCAAGCUAGAGGGCUUUGAGCAGGCGGUGAAGGAUGCAUGGGUUUGCGAUCAGGCCAUCGUGGAUCCUUUCAAGAGACUCGAUGCACUCUUCCGCAACGCAGCGGCAGCACUUCAAGCGUGGGGACAGCGGAAAGUAGGGAAUAUUAAACUUCAGAUGGCGAUUGCCACGACGGUGAUCUAUCGCCUGGAUCAAGCGAUGGAAACUAGAGGGCUCACCGAGUUGGAGACGUGGCUGAGAAGAACCCUUAAGUUAGCACUCCUAGGGCUUGCUUCGCUCGAGCGCACGAUCGAGAGGCAAAGAUCGAGACACAGAUGGCUCCGUGAGGGAGAUGCCAAUACCAAGUUUUUUCAGCUGGUCGCCAACGGGAGGAGAGCAAAGAACUUCAUACCCCAGGUUAGGCGAGGUGAGGAGAUCGCCACUGAUCAGAGCCGCAAGGAGGAAAUUUUCACAAAGGCUUUUCAUAACUUGCUUGGCACGGCACAGGCAAGAGUGCACACGCUAAACCUACAGUCGUUGGGCAUGAACAUGCUAGAUCUGGGCUGUCUGGAUGUGCUGUUCACGAACGAGGAGGUUUGGUCAGUUGUCAAGGAGAUGGCACCGGAUCGGGCUCCUGGACCGGAUGGAUUUACUGUCGAGUUCUACCAAAGAGCCUGGCCUAUUAUCAAGGACGACAUUAUGGCAGCGCUACUCAAACUUUGCGUCGGAGAUGGCCGUGGAUUUGCGAGGUUAAAUCGUGCGCUGAUUGUGCUAAUACCUAAAAAGCCGGAUGCCCUAGAAGUGGGUGAUUAUCGACCGAUCAGUUUGCCACAUAGCUUCUCCAAGUUGUUCGCCAAGCUCCUGGCUAAUCGAAUCCGACCGUGCAUGAAGGACCUUGUGGCCACCAACCAGUCGGCUUUCAUCCGUGACAGAAAUCUGCAUGACAACUAUCUGUUAGUGAGGCAAGUGGCCAGGAAAAUACACGCCAGAAAGAACAAAGGUGUUUUUCUCAAGUUAGAUAUCUCCCGUGCCUUUGACUCCUUGUCUUGGCCUUUCUUAUUUGAAGUGCUCUGGGCCAAGGGAUUUGGAAAUCGAUGUCUCGGAUGGUUGGCGGCGCUACUGCAAUCCUCGAGCACCAGAGUGUUGGUGAACGGAGUACCGGGAAGGAGAAUUUGGCAUGCAAAAGGACUGCGACAAGGGGACCCGGUCUCUCCUCUACUUUUCGUUAUCGCCAUGGACGCCCUCACGGCCAUGAUCUCCAAAGCCAUGUCUGAUGGUGUGUUGAGCUCCUUCACUGGAAUUACAGCGACGCAGCGCCUAUCCAUAUAUGCGGACGAUGUGGCACUAUUCGUCAAACCUACACCCCAUGAUCUCCUAUUUGUCUGAAUCGCGCUGCAACUAUUUGGAGAUGCUUUGGGUCUGAGAGUAAACUACAGGAAAUCUUCGGCUAUCUUGAUCUCUUAGGAUCAGGAAGACAAAGCAAGAGUCGAGCAGAUACUGCAGUGCCCCAUUGGAGAAUUCCCGUGCAAGUAUCUUGGGCUGCAGCUGGCCAUCAAGCACCUCACCAAGGCGCACUGGCAGCCUCUCUUGGAUCAAGUUCGGCACUGCCUCCCGGCUUGGCAGAGAGGCUUAUUGCAGAGAUCAAGUCGGCUCGUGCUUGUCAAGUCGGUGCUUCAGGCGAGACCAGUGCAUCAGUUGCUCGUAAUGAAGGCCUCAGGCUGGGUUUUGGAGGACGUCGAUGGCUGGAUGCGCGCGUUUUUCUGGGCAGGAAAAGAUCGAGUUAACGGAGGCCAAUGCCUAGUGACAUGGAGUUCAAUCUGCAAGCCAACCUGUUUCGGUGGUCUUGGGGUGAAAAACCUAAGUCUGCAAGGGCUGGCACUUAGGGUGCAUUGGGAAUGGUUGCGGCGCACGGACCCGCAAAGGCCGUGGCAUGGAUUGGAGCUUAUGGUGGACGACGAUGCUAGACAGGUCUUUGAUAGUUUGAUUCAGAUCACGGUGGGCAAAGGAAAUAAGGUACUUUUCUGGAGAGAUAGAUGGAUCCACGGCUUCUCUGUCAGAGAUAUUGCGCCCACGCUGGUGGCUGGUGUGGAUACGAGGAUCAGGAACUCCCGUACGGUCGCUCAGGCCUUGGAAGAUGAGAGAUGGGCACUCGAUGUCCAACCACAGACUUCUUUUGGGGCACUUCUACAAACUGUCCACCUGAGACACGCGGUCGCCACUGUUCAACGAGAUGUGCACAUGGAGGAUGCCUUUGCUUGGCCGCAUGACCCGGCAUGUAUACAGCGAGAUCCACCUAUGACAAACUUAAUCAGGGCGCGAUCAGAUCACCUACUACUGCCGCGAUUUGGCGUAGCUGGGCACCACUAAAGUGCAAGAUCUUUGCUUGGCUCGCCGUGCAGCACCGGCUUUGGACAUCUGACAGACGGACGCGACAUGGGCUGCAGGACAACACCUCGCCUUGCUACACUUGCUUGCAGGAGGAGGAUACAGUUGAGCACAUUGUGGUGUAGUGUGUUUACGCUCGCCAGAUGUGGCACACGUGUUUCAACUCCCUACAAAUCAAUGUCCUUCCUCCCAAUGACACGGACACACUUGUGGAGUGGUGGCUUAGGGCUCGCUCUGGUUUCCAAGGGAAACACAAGCGAGGUUUUGACUCGGUUGUCAUCGGCGCGGCUUGGAUGCUGUGGAAGCAAAGGAAGGCCAAGGUGUUCAAUCGGCCGGAGCAAGUUAAAGACUAUAGUGAGCUAGCUAGAGCCAUCCUUGAUGAAAUCCGCGAGUGGUAUAAUGCAGGUGUGGGUGCGGGUGGAUUAGACCGUUUUGUGAGAGAUCACACUUGAUUUUCUUGUAAGUGGGUGUGAGUGGGUGCUCGGGCGAUGGAUGUUCGCAUCGAUCGCACGAAUCUUGUAAACUGUCUUUCUCCCUUCUAUAAAGAUAAGGUACGCUAUUGGCGUACUCUCGAAAGAAAAAAGCUAGAAGCCUAAUUGAGCUAUAGGCGGCAGCUGGAGACCAAACUUUAAAUUUAAUGAUUAGCAGCCUCAAAUAUUCUAGGCAAUCCACUUAUCUCAGCCCUAAGGCGGCUAAUGAUAGGUUAUGAAAAAUUCAUAGCUCAUGUCUUCCCUGAGAAGAUAGUCUUUAUCUUCUGAAUUAUAUGAUAUAUAAUAAAAAGUACUAAUAUGUAAGUAUCAAGAAGACACCAACUAACCAAAUAUUUACGAAGAGCUCGUCAACAUCGAUGAUGCAUACAUGAUUAGUAUUACUCUUGCAUCGCAAGAGAAGCUAGACAAGGGAGACAUUAUCCGUUUUUGAUAGAUAUUGAAAUAUUAAUAUCUCCAUCUUCUGUUUCCAUUUCGUGAGUGGCCAAAAUUUUCUGAGUAUUGCCGCAAAAAAUAAUCCUGAGUAUUGUUCUUACAAUUUCAGGAAACAAAGGAAGAAAAAAAAACGUUCCUGUAGGCCAUCUGGUUCAGCUCUUCCUGAAACCACUUAGUCCCAACUUAAUCUUCAGCACAUAUUUCGACCACAGGUUGUCCCUGGGAGGCUGGGACUAAUAUUGCAUGGUCAUCGUUAUCUGCGCUUUGUUUUUCGGUGAAUCUAUAUAUGCUUUUCCUUUAAGCCCUCGUCUACAAAAUAUUCACUGGCCUAGUGGUGGUAGGACAAUAUCUUACGUUAUCAGGGAGAAUGAUGGGAGGAGUAGUCUAAGAAAAGUGAUUGUACCAAUCUAUCAGAAGCCUCAAAACACCAAGAUUCUUUGUUCGAAAAAACGCAAAAAAAAAAAACCCAUUGAGUAACGAAGAAUCGUAUUCUUUUGGUAGGCUUUCCGAGGCAUUCGUGGAUCGGCGAUUGCAGCGCAAAGUGUCAUGGUAUAGGAUGUGAUGGGUGCCUGGCUAGCUAGGCCAUAUCGCCAGAAUGAUAAACACAUGCAGUAUAAUUCAGUAACUUACUUAUUCGUCGCUUGCCUAAAAAACUAUUCGUCGCUGUAAAGAUAAGCAUUUAUCCUUGUACCAACAGAGCAAGAAAAUUGUCAUGGUAGACUAAUUCACUUACCUUACUCGUCGCUGUAAAGAUAAGGAUUUAUCCUUGUACUACAUAACAAGUAAGAAAACCGUGGUGGUAGACUGAUGUGACAAAACUUGGGUGCUGGGUGGCAUUUGAAAUUUCAGAAACUGAACUGAAGAUUUUACUUUACUUAAGCUACGAGGGUUCCUCUGUUGUUCGUCAAAAGACAAAAUGGGUCAAAUGACACGAUUUGGCACCCCACUAAAGAACACAUCUGUCAGCUUAGUGCAUUUGAAGAUCUCAUUAAAAAGACAAAGCAUAAAAACCUUUGUUGAAUAACAUGAAAUCCUCCUUAAAACUUCAGAGUUGUAUAUACCUAUGUACUUAUCUGGUCAUCUAAGUACGGAGUACGCGCUGAAAGAGAAUUACACUGUUUCAGCCAGGGCAAGCAGAGCCUCCCCGAACGAGACUGACUGACUGAGCAGUGACCACCCAUGUGCUGCCAGCGUUAGUUAUACCAAAGUUUAUAUUCAAUCUGGACAACUGUUGUGGGACAUGCAGAGUGGUCAAAAAUCUCUUUCCGUCUUUCCAGCAAAGAACAUGCAACAAAAUGCUCCAAGCAGCUAAGUCAAAAAGGCUCUGCCUGCAGAGCCUAAUUUCCAGGCUUGGAUGUUCCUGAAGAAUUCGUUUUUUCUAAAGUAGAUACGGUACCUGGCAUACUCCAUUGGAAACUCGGUGGAAAACACGGUUAGAAAAAAGAUAUAGAAGGAACUAGAGCUCGAGAAAAAUGCUCGCAAGUUUCUGUAACUUCGGCAUAGAGAGUGGGCUGUUUCCGAGGAAACCGGACAGUCAGAGUAGUAGUACUCCAUAAGACGAUCUCAAAGGUCAAAAAAGUUGUUGUGCAUCGAAUAAUUUAGCCUUUCCAACAAAGAAAUGAGUGAGCAAGGACCGAAUGAGUUUUACAGAUUCUUAAAUUAGCGAAAUUAUCUUCAAGAUCAUGUCGUGAAAAGACAAAAGAGAUACGGAAGUGCCGUCGCUGGACAAAUAAUCCUCAUCUGAACCAGUAAGCAACACCUAUGAUAGCACAUGGUGAAGUAGAACCACAACACUGAACAUAAAUGCUGAGUCAAAGAUAUGAAAGAAACAUCCCAGGUACCAAGAGCACAUUAAUAAUGAAUAACACCCGCAAAAAAAAUAAUGAAUAGACCACAAAGUUAUUUAUGGAACAGUGAUAAUAACAGUGAAACGCUAAGCAGCAGCAUAGGUUCAAAAGAAAAAAAAAAUGGUUCUCCUGAUAGUUAGCUUAGGUCAUAUUAGACAUAAAUAAACUUACAAGGCAAUAAUAAUGCAGUCCCUUCCCUAUAUUGUUAGCACACCUUAACAGCUUUGCUAGAACCUAUGCCAACUCCCUUCUAACAUACACCAGUAAAAUAUACAUAGGAUAUGUACAUCCUCUUGCCAAAAGGCAUAAAAAGAAACAUCUAAUAAGUCAAAUAUUGAGGGAACUUACAUAGCUGAAAAGCUUGCUCAUAAUCGGUAUUUAACAUAUUGCCUCCAUUAUAUACAAAAACUCUUCUUUGCAGCAAACACAAACUAUAGCCUUGAACGGCGGAGGUACUUGAUGGGAUUGAACGGACCCAGCUGCCGUGCAGAAGCCAGCGUUGGUCGUCCAUUUGGAGACACUGUUGGCUUGAUGUCCCAUCCUUCAACAUUUUUAGGAACACAGACAUCAAACAUAAUUUGGCCAAGGACUCCUUGAGGCUCCAUCCUGGCUGGAUAGGGUAGUGACCGUUUCUGCUCCUCAACAAGAGAAUCUGGUUCCCUAGAAUCAUGAUGGUCCUUUGAACUUGGCAAGAAGAAAUGGUCGCUGGGACUGUUGGCUACCCUUCUCAGGCUCUCAUUUGAAUUGGCGGCCACAUUGUGUAGAUUGCACACACAGUGCGCUAUCUUGUACUCCUGAUCCCAUGCAGCACUGGUGCCCUUCAGCUGGCUUCUGUGGCAGAAGGUGACAAGAGCUUUCUUCAGUAUAUCAUCUACAGCAGUUCUGUAUUCCGCUUCAUGCAACUUGUAAUGGCCUGCAGGAUAUAUAUAAAAAAUUGGUUGUGAAUGAAAUCUGCAAUGAUGACUCCCAGCAGAGAAGAUAUCAAGGAUUUAAAUGAUGGAACUUAACAUAAAUAACCAAAUAUGUAGCUUUGUAAUAUUAAACUCUGAGAUAAUAUUGUAUUCGCCCUCAUGACAAGGAGUAUAAACAUUCAAUCAAAUAGUCAGAUCAAACACUUGAGCUUAGUAUUGUCUUCUUCGAUAAAUUAGAAAUUCUAAAAUGGAUGGAAAAUAUUGUUAGGCAAGAUGAUGCAAAUGCUUGAUCCAUUGUCUUCUACUGUCAUCUAGGUCUCUAAGACCUAAGCGUAUAGACAUGAAGUUGUUUUCAUAUCUGUCAGACAAUCUCUGCAAUUAACAAAUCCAAAUAUGAUAUUAAUGAAGGUCUUGGAAUGGAAACCGCCAUGACAAUAAUUGUGCAAAUACAUGUUUCUACUAGUAAUAUAUUUCACAUUUUAAGUUAGUACUCGGUAAUCCUAUCUAAUAAAACCAGACACUGAAGAUAAAAUGAAGGCGUACCAACAUGAGGGGAAUCACUCCACUUGAUUACUUUAACAUCUGUGCCUAGCUCGACCAAACGCCUGGCGAAACCACAGACAACAUGGCAUGGAGCAAGAUCAUCGCCUUCCGAGCAAAAUAUAAGAACUGAACCCAACCCCUGGAUGAACAGUUAAAAGUUAAUUGGUGUGGCUAGUGAAGAUGAUCUGCAAAAAUCACAAAGGCAAACCAGACUUACUGCUGAUGAGUAUAGCGUGUGCCAAUAUUCUGCACGCUGAGCUUCAAUUCUGCUUGGGAAGAGAGUAUCCAUUCCAGAUGCCAAAGCCUUUGCCAUCAAGGAACGUAGCAUGGAUGGUUGAGCUGAAGCGCCAAUCACAGGAUUUUGAAGAAACUGUGUGCCCACAUCGCUCAAAAAAUCCACUGGACCAGAGUCAUAAAUUUGGCCAGAGAUACAGUUUCUAACUAACCGAUAGUCCUUCUACAUAAUGGAAAAUUUACAUCAAUAAUGUUUAAGAUGUUUGCCAACAAAUCCUCAGCUGAUAAUAUGCUAAGUCAAAACAUGAUGAAAAUGGCAAAGAAAAUGAGGACUUAAACAUAGAAUGAUGAUGAGAGACUUCCAAGUAUGUUCAAGAGAUCGAAUAUAUGCAGCUGAAAACAUGCCUAGUCAGAACAUAAUGACAACAUAAUGACAAUGUCGUAGAAAACAACUUCAACAGAAUGAGCAAAUUGCUACACAGUACAUGCAAAUGGAAGAAAACAAAACCUAGUAUAUGCACUUCACAAUUGACAUAGAUAUGGUUUUUAAAUAGGUUCCCAUUAUCCUUGCAACAAAGAGAAAUGUAUAUGUAAACUUCAGGAGAAGAGAAAGGAUAGAAAAAACAUACCACCGUUGCAUCUCCUUCACAUCUUCCGUCUAGUAACUGCGAAACCAAUCAAGUUUAGUCAUUUAAACUGUGAAAGGGGAUAGGCAAAUAGAUGAUAUGUACGAUGAGGUGGCAAAAAGGAAGAACUGAACAAGCAUGCACCUGAAUAACCUUGUACAUGCAUCCCUUUGAGCCACCAGAAAAAGAAGCAAGCACAGUUGGCAAUGGCUUUACUUUCAAUUCCUGAAACGCCAGCAUUUCACAUAGUUAAAAGCAAAAAUUAUAAAAAUAAUUAACUGCAACCAAGUGGAAAGAUAGUAAACAGAAGUCCCAUUCCACGAGAGCUUAUAUGCAUUCUUCUAAACAAUACAGAAAGUUUAUAAUAUGUCAAUAUGCAAAUAUUUCAGACUCUAAACCAGCAAGAAGAUUAUGUAGAGGUUGCCGCUUGGACACAAAGUAUAAAAUAAAUGGAAAGGGGUGAAGGGUCAAACUCUAACUUCAUGCGUUCUGCCAGGGGUUCUUACAUCUAUACAUUUUUUGUAUAUAAAUCAUUUGGAUGAUUAAGGAGCAAAAAGAGAAAGUCACAUGUGUAUCACUCCCUCCUUCUCAAAAUGUUGGGCGUAUUAGGUAUUAGCACGAAAAUUAACCCAUUGAUUCUUACGUGAGCCAUCGCACAGAGGUAACUGAAAGAAAACGGUGGAGCAUGCACGAUCUCCUUUGUCCCACUCUUUGUUGACCGAUCCAAUCUCAAACGAUGAAAGGUAACCGCACUAGAUGCUCGUACGUGCUUUCUUUUUUUCCACAAAAGUAGCUAAUCGUUGGUGAGGCUGUAACUGUGCGUCCUAUAUUAUGGAAUUGCAUGCAGAAUUUAAUACGCCCAAGAUUUUGGGAAGCAGGGAGUACAAAAUAGUGUCAGUGCUGGAGUAGGCUAAAUACAACAUGAUCAUUGACUAAAACAACAAGUAACAUAGUUACUUACUCCCUCCGACCGGAAAUACUUGUCGAAGAAAUGGAUGUAUAUAUACAUUUCUCCGACAAGUAUUUCCGGGCGGAGGGAGUAUUAUUUUCUUCAUUUGAACAAUAGAGUUGUUAAUGCUUACUAUACAACAUGGUAUUUGUGGAGUACAACAACCAAGAAAAAAAGAUGUACCUUUGCCAGCUCACUAAUAACACCACAUGCCAAUGUUGCUGCUUUCUCAGAGAGAUACCUGGAAGAAGAAAAGAAUCAGUAUAGCGCCAUUAGGUGUAAAUAGGAACCUAACGGUGCAGACUGCAGAAGACCCCAUAUGCAAGUUUACACCAUAGCCCUUCAAGUAUAAGAUAAGUAGAUAACUGAAGCACGAUGCAAGGAACUCCAUUGCUAGUGACCUAGUGUUACAAUGGUACUCACUCAAGUGUCAUUUUAGGUGAAAUACCCUGCUGAAUGAAGCCUAUAGCUCUACCAGCAACAGAUGAUGCUGAUGAAGACCCUCUACCUCCAGCAACAUCUGAUUUGAUGCACUUAAUUUGCUAAUGCUAUUCAAUAAAAUUACUCUGAGGUCUCUACACAAACUACAUAAAUGACUACCAAGCUUGCAGAUGCACAAACUGUGUUCAGGCAACAAAACUCUGGAUGGAUGUACCAAACAUUCUUAACAUAUUGAAGCAAUCCAUAUGUUAUUUUAGCUCCUUUUGCUAGUUCAACAUACUAGUAGUUUCAGAAGGUUCAAUAUUCUUGUGUUUCAUUUUACUUACUACUAAAAUUGAUACCUUCAAUUUUUCGCAUCCUCAAUUGCACAAAAAUCCAAGUACCACAAUGCAAAACCUUCCAUUAUCCUCCAAUAAAUAUAGCUUUACCAAAUCUCAAAGCCUAACCAAACCCCAAACACACAAGAUCGCUAAGACGCUAACCGCUCGCAUGCUGCAGGUACGUAGGUAUAUUUACCAAAAAGCGCACAAAGCGACAAGAUAAACCAUGCAAAAUAUAGAAGAGUAUAAAUUGCACAGUUACAGAGAUUCUCAAACUAAGAGAACUAGUAACAUGCAGUGAUGAAUCGAGUGACCGAUCGAACACUGCCCAUCAACUAAUCGAACUCCAGAGAAAUUUUCAUAACAAGCUAAACCUGAAGGAUAAAGCCUCGUCCCCAAUGAUUCGGGUAGACACAAAAUGAGCGACCAAUCUCAAAUCAAGCCUAACCGCAGCUACGAAAUCAAUGACCAAUCCCAGAAUCUCUAAAAUUAAACCUAACCGCAGCUACAGCAUCAGUGACCAAUCUCAGAAUCUCUAAAAUUAAACUUAACCGCAGCUAUGAUUACACUCCAUGAGGCCGCAGAGCUACAGGCGGCCACUUCUACGAGCCCGGACGUGCAACAGAUCUCCCGAAUUUAACGGCUAGCACAAGCAACAAGUGGAAAGGAGCGAGGGAGGGAGGAUGGGGGAAGCAGCGCCACUCACAGCGAUACGAGGUCGGGGUGGCAGACGAGGCAGCGCCAGCCGAGCGAGGCGUAGAGCUCGACGAACGGCCGCAGCUGCGCCUCGUCGCUCCACACCCACGCGAACACGACCACGACGCCCCGCGCCCCCGACGGCGGCGCGGGCGCCCAGUAGAAGCGGCCGCCGCAGCCGGGCCACAUGGCCACCAGCCGCCGCUCCUCCCACCCUCCCUCGCCGGACGGACCUAGGCGGCGAAUCGGGGCGGCGGCAGGUGGGCGAGGGAGGGUUUGCGCUGCUGUCUCGCUGGGAAGGGGGACUAGCGGAGACGGGACGGGAACAGAAGAGGGAGAUGGAGAUGGCGGAUCGGAAGGGAGGAGAUGGGUCGCUUUGGCGUUUGGUUCGUCGCGGAUUUGUUUAUUUCUUUCUUUCUGUGUUUCCGUGAGCUUCUGCGCCUCCUUUUUUGCGGUUUCCGCACGAGUACGGGAUUGGGUUUCUCGUCAGCGCAUUUAUUAAAGAAAUGAUUUUUGUGGUGAUGGGUCAAAGCUAUCCUACGCGGCUCGUAGGAUAAAGAUGAGGAAUGCGUACGUACCCCGUGCACGUAUAGAAAUACAAUUCAAUAAUGUUUCAUGUAGGAGGGCCUGUCAAAAAAAAAGAUUCUCAAAAAAAGAGUAGGAGGGCCUGUUUGAAUGGGGUCAUGGGGGCUAUAUUUUCAGAGAUUUUUCAUGUCUAGUUUUUUCUUUAAAAAUGCUAGUACAUAUGUCCGUGCAUUGCAACGAAAGAAAAUGGUAAACACGAACAUGAAUCGGUCAACUACAUCCUUUGCAUGGAGCCAAGGCCGCUAUAAUUACUCUAUUAUGUGUUACCAACAGGCUACUCACAUAACAUGAAAAGAACCAUUUUUGAGUCAAAUUAAGGGUUGGUCGUCUAGGCAUGGAUGAGAAUCAAGGUAGAUAUUCUUGUCAAAUUUGUAGAGGAUCUGCUUGUAGUUGAAGAAAAUGAGCGAGUUGGCCUUGGAGGUGUCAAUGAUCAGGGACGGAGCCAGUAAACAUAUUAAAGAGGGACCAAUGGAAGAGAUAAAAUGUUAAGGGAGGAGCAAACAUACAAAUUUAGAACACUUUGAACUAACAAUCUAAGGUUGUUUCAGAAAAUAGAUUGCCAUGGGGCAGCCAUGGCCCUAGCUCGCCCCCAUGCUUCGUCACUGCCAAUGAUCCGCUCGUACAUGGCCUUUCAUAAGUCGGUGUGGCCAGUCCUUUGAGGCAGGACGCUAUAACUAAUCCACAUAGCAUUCCUGGUUAACCGUCACUUCUAGUCAAUGUUUUAAAUAGCGGGCUAUGGAAAAUAACGGCGGGCCUACAAAUCAGCUAUAGCAGGCUAUUUAUGAAGGCGACCAUUUAGCAGCACCCUGUUGAAAAGGCUAUAGCGGAGCUAUAGUUGGCUAUUUAAAACUAUGCUCCUAGUUUGCUCGUCGACGCAACUCCUGACUGUGGCGCUCAUGUCAUUCAUGUUGGCUCUGUAGAAGUGCAUGCUCUAGCCAAUGCAACCAAAAGACCGAUCUGAUGGAAGAGACUAGGCAGCACAUUGUACGUCAACACUCCCCCUCACGUGUGGCUCUCUCGGGCCUAAACGUGGACCGAAAGUGGGCUGCAAUAUAAUUGCGCCAGCCGGGUCUUGAACUCAAGACCUCUUGGCUCUGAUAUCAUAUAGAAAUGCAUGCUCUAGCCAAUGCAAUCAAAAAACCAAAAAACCAGCGUGAAUAUUUAAGAACAUAGUGCAACGUCGGAUUUAUAAUAUUUUUUGAACCUUUUAAAAAAUAUGAAUUGCCGAAUAUUCUUGGAAACAUGAACAUUUUUUUAAUUACGAACAAUGCUUUUAAUAUUCCAUCCAUUUUGGAAAAAAUAUGAACAAAAUUUGAAACAACAUCAUUCUCUGAAGACAUGAAACUUUUAUCAAAACCCAAUUAUUUUUUAAUUUUUCACCGACUUUUGAAAAAAAACAUGUUUUAAACAUUCAGAAUAAUUUUAUAAAAUGAGUUUUUAAACGCAGACAUUAUUUUGAAUCUGUGAAUAUUUUACUAAAAUAAUAAUAUAUUUUAAAUUUCGAAUAAUUUUUAAAUACAUGUUUUUAAAUCCCAAACAAUUUUGGAAUAUUUAUGAAUUUGAAAGAAAAAUUGAAAUGAGAAAAUAAAUUAAUGUUCCAAGCAUCUUUAAAAAAGGGGAAGACAAUAUUGUAAUUCGAACAUUUUUCGAAAAUUUGACAAAAAAAUAAAUUCUGAACCUUUUUGAAAAAUUUGAAUUACAAAAUAAUGUAAACAAAUUAUUGGACAGAAAAACAAAAUGGGUCGGCCCAGUCUUGGAUGCCCUGUGCAAACUCCGACUAUUUGUAGCACCGGGCGGGAAAUAAGCUUUUUCAGCUACAUUGGCAGGCAAAUAAGUGGGCUGGAUUCGCUGGGCCAUGGCAUGUGCGGGGCAAGUACGAAAUUUCUAGAUUGCUAAAAAAACAGACGGACGCACAAAAAUUUAGUACCACCUAGAGAUAGAAAAAUAAUUUUCGACGGUGAACGACUGAAAAAAUCGGAGAAACGCACAUUGCUUUAUUAGUAGGUGCACAUAUGCCCGUGCGCUGCAACGGGAGAGUUAAUUGGUGUGUCCAUCGAAAUAACCAUCAACACGGCGGAAGAACAUCCGAAUGGUGCCAACAUAAAUUCAUGUAAGUAGUACUACAUUAAGAAGCAUGUUACAGAUACAAUACUUUUGAUAUGGUUUUCAUAUGACGAUUAAAGAGCCUCAUACCACGACAUUAUUUUUAUGUUGAAAGAAUGUUUGAAAUUUGCACCGUGAAAAGAUCUUUAAAAAGGGUUUUCUUAAACGCGUUUUACACCAUCUCUUCAUAUAUAACGCAUUUUGCAAGAUAAUAUCAUAUAGAAUCUAUAUAUUUUGAGCGAUUUUCACAUAUAACAUAUUAAAUUUGGAGUUAUCGUUUAAAAGAUAUGAUAAUUUCAACAAAUACUGGAAUCUGCAUAAAAUAAAAAAAGGUAAAAAAAAGUAGCUGGGCCAAGAUAAUAUCAUACUAUAGAUAUUCGUGGAGAAAAGGCAGCAAAAAAGAGUAAGAACCUGGGAUCAAACCCAGCUCUCCCAGAUAGGAGAGCAACACCCUAGCCAGUAGGCUGCUUGUGUAGUUGUGAUAAUGUCAGGGCCUAGCCAGUGGCGGAGCUACCCAGAAAUUGUUGGGCGGGCCAAGGAAGCCCAACCUGAAGAAAACGCAGAUUUUUUCUCUCAACAAGGCCCAGUUUUCCAUAUACUCUUCAGUGUUUGGACCAUGGGCUGGACGGGCCAUGGCCCAUCGGUCCUUGGUGUAGCUCCGCCAGUGGGCCUAGCUGUAAAUGAUCCUAAUGCAACCGGCGGUCACCUAAUAAAAAAGAAUUAUUUUUGUCACUUACGGGUGGCAUUGGUGGGUAAUUUCUAUCAACUUUAGGGGUAAUUUUCGUGACGUACGACCAGAAGCAGUAGACACUUUAUUAUUAGGGAAAAAUAGAUUGGAGUUGCUUUUUUGCACUUCCAUGAGGACAUCUAGUUAGGCAGUCAGAGCCUGCCUCACAUCACUGGCAUUUGUUCAUCCGUAGAUCCAAACAUCACAGAUGGUUGUUUGACGCUGCAUGGGUACAAUUGACAUCACCGCCCCCUGCACUAGUCCGCAUGGUCGAGGUCGCUGAUGCCUUCCAGAAUCCAGGAGGAUUUGGGAAUGAUGUUGUCGACACUUUUAGUGAGUGGAACUAUGUUGUCGUGUGUAUGAGCAAUAUUAUUCCAGUCCAUGACUAGGCUAUUCUCCGGGACAGGCCAAUCAAUACUAAUUGCUAGGCCAACGAGAAAGCCGCCAAACCAAACAAGGCAUAUACUAAUUGCUCUAGGCUUAAGUAGUAGAGCAAUUUAUUGUUUCCACGAGGGCUAUACCUCGCUUUUUGUCACACGUACCAUGGCUAUAUAUGGGAAAUAAGGAGUUGACCUAUUACUUCAUUGAAGAAGCUUGACGUUGUUUUGUGUGAUAAGGACAUGAUUGGUCCCGAGGAACUUUCGUCUCCCCUUUAGUUAUAUCAGUGUGCUUAGAAGUUUAUGUAAUGUACUUGUCUAAACAAAACUUUGUUUUAUGUAGGAUAAAAUUGAAAACAAUUUUUUUAUUGCUCGACUGACACUUGUGAUUAUCCACUCUUUGGUUAAACUAUUGUGAAGAUUGUUGGGAUAUCAGCUGAUGGUCAUACCAUGGAGGUGCUCAUGAGUGUUGGUGUUGAUAUGUUUGUGCCCAAGGGGAUUAAGAUUCUCGGGUCUAUGAUUCACGAGGUCAUCAAAGAAGAAGAACACCAUGGGCUAGUGCAAUCUAACUUGCUUUUGCGAUGGAGGAAAUAAUGUUGAACUCAUUGAUCUAUAUUUUCUUUAGUAUGCCUUGACGUGUUGUUUUGUCUAAUUGAGAUUAUCCAUGACUCGAUGGAAUUGAAAUAAUACUUGAUCUACAAUAUUUUUUAAAGGCCUCAAUGGAAUAAAUGGCAUCCAUAUUUCUCCCUUUUCACUUUGAUGAACAAAUAUAAAAAACAAUAGAUGCAUAUUUUUUGGAGUUUAAUCGGGUGUGUGUUUUGCCUUAUGCAUUAGACACAAGUGUGAGUUGCUUGAGAUUUUCUAAACAAAUUUAGAGUUCAUAUUUAAGAUGGUACUCCAAAAUAGUUCCUUGCAUUUAUAAACCUCCAUAAAUAAUCAAUGUAAUAUAUGUAAUUCAUUUCUUAUGUAAUGAUAUUCUCCCGCUUGUUCAUUCAUAACCAUUAUCUUGUUAAAAUAUAGAUACAUAAUAUUCCUUGUUUAAUAUUAAAUAUUGGUCAAAGACAGGUGGUAGAGACCAUGUACUUGGCCUCCGUGAUAUGUAUCAUAAAGUUAAUUAUGAGCUAACAAAAAAGUAGAAAUAGUUUAGAACAUCUCACGCAAAUUAGAAAGAUCUCACCGUCACCUUCACGACCCUUAAUUAAGAAAUCAUUUCCAGUGGGCACAGUAUGAUAUAAUACAAUCUAUUAUAUAGUCAUGCUCCUCGGUGAUUUCAACAGAGAGCCUCACGGUCCACAUACGCCACUCAGUUCAAUCCCUUAUGCCCCGCGCCAUCGACCACAAUAACCUCUCCUCUUCAACCCAUCAAUGUCCCAUGCCCAAAGUUGCUGCCAUGGUAGUAAACUGGGAAGGUGAAAUGUUCAAGACAAUGAAUGUUGUUUUGGUGAAGUUUAUAUUGAAACCAGUGGUGGUAGAGAAGUUGUCAAGUAUUUCCUUAACGUUGGAUGCAACAUUAUCAUCGGCCAUAGCAAUGAUCAAUAUAUCAUAUGCGCGCGUGUUGCAGAACGAGGCAAUUAAGGGACGGGUUUAGUGGGUGAGAGAGCAACCAAGUGUUUUCAUGCAUGCAUGAUCAUGCAUUGUAGUAUGUUAGCAACAAUUGCAAAUAGAGACUUAGACUACUACGUGUUUUUCUUUCCCCUCUCGCAAGGCAACUAGGGAAAAGCCUUUCUCCCCUCGAUCUUUGUCGGCGAGCUAGUGGAUUUGCCUCCCCUCUGGUUGUUGCUCCAACAGCUGGUGGCAGGGAGGGGAAUCCUGGCGCCCUCAGCUCAGUCUAGUAGAUAGGUAGGAUUUUAGUUCUCCAAAGGGUCGCGUUGGGCUGGAUCCUGGAUGGCGAGCUUCUUCUUUGAGCCAGUCUUCCAGGAUUUGAUCCUUCUCAAGUUUGUCCAUCGGGGACGGAUUAGAUAGAUCCUCGAUGUAGAUUUAUGUGAGCAUUAACAUCAGCAGCAGCAGCAGCAGAGUAGAGAAAAUGUGGUGAUACGUCUCCAACGUAUCUAUAAUUUAUGAAGUAUUCAUGCUAUUUUAUUAUCAUUCUUGGAUGUUUUACAAUCAUUUUAUAGCAACUUUAUAUCAUUUUUUGGGACUAACCUAUUGACCCAGUGAGGGAGUUCUGGAUUAGGGGGUCCCCGGGCGUCCGGGCUAUGUGACGUGGGCCGGACUGGUGGGCCGUGAAGAUACAAGAUAAAAGGCUUUCCCCCGUGUCCGGAUGGGACUCUCCUUUGCGUGGAUGGCAAGCUUGGUGUUCGGAUAUGAAGAUUCCUUUCUCUGUAAACUGACUCUGUAUAACCCUAGGCCCCUCCGGUGUCUAUAUAAACCGGAGCGUUUAGUCCGUAGAGGCAAUCACAAUCAUACAGGCUAGACAUCUAGGGUUUAGCCAUUACGAUCUCGAGGUAGAUCAACUCUUGUAACCCCUAUACUCAUCAAAGUCUAUCAAUCAGGAAGUAGGGUAUUACUUCCAUUAAGAGAGCCCGAACCUGGGUAAACAUCGUGUCCCCUGCCUCCUGUUACCUUCGAUCCUCAGACGCACAGUUCCGGACCCCCUACCCGAGAUCGACCGGUUUUGACACCGACAUUGGUGCUUUCAUUGAGAGUUCCUCUGUGCUGUCGACAGAAGGAUCGAUGGCUCGUUCGAUCAUCCACAACGAUGCCGUCUCGAGGGAGACUUUCCUCCCCGGCCAAAUUUUCAUAUUCGGCGGCUUCGCACUGCGUGCCAACUCGACUGGCCACCUUGAGCAGAUCAACAACUACGCCCCUGGUCAUCAGAUCAGUUUUGGAAAUCUGAACUAUGUCGCUGAUAUCCGAGGAGACUUGAUCUUCGGAGGGUUCGCGACCCUGACCGCCGCUCUGGCCUUAGAUCCAGAGCAGACUACCAGGUCCGAAGACAAAUCCCAGUCUCGAUUCGUGCCAACCCAACAGACACUUUCGGAGAUACCUGUAGUGCACCUUUAUAGUCACCCAGUUACGUUGUGAUGUUUGGUACACCCAAAGCAUUCCUACGGUAUCCGGGAGUUGCACAAUCUCAUGGUCUAAGGAAAUGAUACUUGACAUUAGAAAAGCUCUAGCAAAACGAACUACACGAUCUUGUGCUAUGCUUAGGAUUGGGUCUUGUCCAUCACAUCAUUCUCCUAAUGAUGUGAUCCCGUUAUCAAUCACAUCCAAUGUCCAUGGUCAGGAAACUAUAACCAUCUAUUGAUCAACGAGCUAGUCAACUAGAGGCUUACUAGGGACAUGUUGUGGUCUAUGUAUUCACACAUGUAUUACGGUUUCCAGUUAAUACAAUUAUAGCAUGAACAAUAGACAAUUAUCAUGAACAAGGAAAUAUAAUAAUAACCAUUUUAUUAUUGCCUCUAGGGCAUAUUUCCAACAGUCUCCCACUUGCACUAGAGUUAAUAAUCUAGUUCACAUCACCAUGUGAUUAACACUCAAAGUUCACAUCGCCAUGUGACUAAUACCCAAGAGUUUACUAGAGUCAAUAAUCUAGUUCACAUCACCAUGUGAUUAACACUCAAUGAGUUUUAGGGUUUGAUCAUGUUAUGCUUACGAGAGAGGUUUUUGUCAACGGGUCUGAACCUUUCAGAUCCGUGUGUGCUUUACAAAUCUCUAUGUCAUCUUGUAGAUGCAGCUACCACGCGCUACUUGGAGCUAUUCCAAAUAACUGCUCUACUAUACGAAUCCGGUUUACUACUCAGAGUCAUCCGGAUUAGUGUCAAAGUUUGCAUCGACGUAACCCUUUACGACAAACUCUUUUACCACCUCCAUAAUCGAGAAAAUUCCUUAGUCCACUAGAUACUAAGGACAAGUUUGACCGCCGUCAUGUGAUCCAUUCCCGGAUCACUAUUGUACCCCUUGACUAACUCAUGGCAAGGCACACUUCAGGUGCGGUACACAGCAUAGCAUAUUGUAGAGCCUACGUCUAAAGCAUAGGGGACGGCCUUCGUCCUUUCUCUCUCUUCUGCCAUGGUCAGGUCUUGAGUCUUACUCAAUACUCACACCUUGUAACACAGCCAAGAACUCCUUCUUUGCUGAUCUAUUUUGAACUCCUUCAAAAUCUGGUCAUGGUAUGUAUUCAUUUGAAAGUACUAUUAAGCGUUUUUAUCUAUCCUUAUGGAUCUUGAUGCUCAAUGUUCAAGUAGCUUAAUCCAGGUUUUCCAUUGAAAAACACUUUUCAAAUAACCCUGUAUGCUUUCCAGAAAUUCUACAUCAUUUCUGAUCAAAAUAUGUCAACAACAUAUACUCAUCAGAAAUUCUAUAGUGCUCCCACUCACUUCUUUGGAAAUACAAGUUUCUCAUGAACUUUGUAUAAACCCAAAAUCUUUGAUCAUCUCAUCAAAGCGUUCAUUCCAACUCCGAGAUGCUUACUCCAAUCCUUAGAAGGAUUGCUGGAGCUUUGCAUACUUGUUAGCAUCUUUCAGGAUUGACAAAACCUUCUGGUUGUAUCACAUACAACCUUUCCUCAAGAAAAUCAUCGAGGAAACAAUGUUUUGACAUCCUAUCUGCAAGAUUUCAUAAAUAAUGCAGUAACUGCUAAUAUAAUUCUAACAGACUCUUAGCAUCGCUACGAGUGAGAAAGUCUCAUCGCAGUCAACUCCUUGAACUUGCCGGAAAACAUCUUAACGACAAGUCGAGCUUUCUUAAUGGUGACACUUACCAUCAUUGUCUGUCUUCCCUUUAAAAUCCAUCUGUACCCAACAGCCUUACGACCAUCAAGUAGUUCUUUCAAAGUCUAUACUUUGUUUUCAUACAUGGAUCCUCUCUCAGGUUUUAUGGCCUCGAGCCAUUCGUCGGAAUCCGGGCCCACCAUCGCUUCUCCAUAGCUCGUAGGUUCAUUGUUGUAUAGCAACAUGACUUCCAAGACAGGAUCACGUACCACUCUGAAGUAGCAUGCAUCCUUGUCGUCCUAUGAGGUUUGGUAGUGACUUGAUCCGAAGUUUCAUGAUACUAUCAUAAGCUUCCACUUCAAUUGGUAUAGGUGCCACAGGAACAACUUCCUGUGCCCUGCUACACAUUAGUUGAAGUGACGGUUCAAUAACCUCAUCAAAUCUCCACCAUCCUCCCACUCAAUUCUUUCGAGAGAAACUUUUCCUCGAGAAAGGACCUGUUUCUAGAAACAAUCACUUUUGCUUCCAGAUCUGAAAUAGGAGGUAUACCCAACUGUUUUGGGUAUUCUAUGAAGAUGCAUUUAUCCGCUUUGGAUUCGAGCUUAUCAGCCUGAAACUUUUUCACAUAAGCGUCGCAGCCCCAAACUUUUAAGAGACGACAGCUUAGGUUUCUCUGAACCAUAGUUCAUACGGUGUCGUCUCAACGGAAUUGCGUGGUGCCCUAUUUAAAGUGAAUGCGGUUGUCUCUAAUGCCUAACCCAUAAACGAUAGUUGUAAUUCGAUAAGAGACAUCAUGGUAUGCACCAUAUCCAAUAGGGUGCAGUUAUGAUGUUCGAACACACCAUCACAAUAUGGUGUUCCAGGUGGUAUUAGUCAUGAAAUAAUUUCCACAAUUUCUUAAUUGUGUGCCAAACUCGUAACUCAGAUAUCUCUAUGAUCAUAUCAUAGACAUUUUAUCCUCUUGUCACGACGAUCUUCAACUUCACUAUGAAAUUACUUGAACCUUUCAAUAAUUCAGACUUGUGUUUCAUCAAGUAAAUAUUCUCAGCAUCUACUCAAAUCAUCUGUGAAGUAAGAACAUAACGAUAUCCACUGCAUGCCUCAACACUCAUUGGACUUGCACACAUCAAAUGUGUUACUUCUAGCAAGUUGCUCUCUUGUUCCAUCUCACUGAAAACGAGGCCUUUCAGUCAUCUUGCCCAUGUGGUAUGAUUUGCAUGUCUCAAGUGAUUUAAAAUCAAGUGAGUCCAAAUGAUCCAUCUGUAUGGAGUUUCUUCAUGCGCAUACACCAAUAGACAUGGUUCGCAUGUCUCAAUCUUUUCAAAAACGAGUGAGUCCAAAGAUCCAUCAACAUGGAGCUUCUUCAUGCGAUUUAUACCAAUAUGACUCAAAUGGAAAUGCCACAAGUAUGUGGUACUAUCAUUACUAUCUUAUAUCUUUUGGCAUGGACAUGUGUAUCACUACGAUCAAGAUUCAAUAAACCAUUCACUUUAGGUGCAAGACCAUUGAAGGUAUUAUUCAAAUAGACAGAGUAACCAUUAUUCUCCUUUAAUGAAUAACCGUAUUGCGAUAAACAUAAUCCAAUCAUGUCUAUGCUCAACGCAAACACCAAAUAACAAUUAUUCAGGUUUAACCCUAAUCUCGAUGGUAGAGGGAGAAUGUGAUGCUUGAUCACAUCAACCUUGGAAACACUUCCAACACAUAUCGUCAUCUCACCUUUAGCUAGUCUUCGUUUAUUCUGCAGCUUUUAUUUCGAGUUACUAACACUUAGCAACCGAACCGGUAUCUAAUACCCUGGUGCUACUAGGAGUACUAGUAAAGUACACAUUAAUAUAAUGUAUAUCCAAUAUACUUCUGUCGACCUUACCAGCCUUCUCAUCUACGAAGUAUCUAGGGUAGUUCUGCUUCAGUGACCGUUCCCCUCAUUUCAGAAGUACUUAGUCUCGGGUUUGGGUUCAACCUUGGGUUUCUUCACUAGAGCAGCAACUGAUUUGCCGUUUCAUGAAGUAUCCCUUCUUGCCCUUGCCCUUCUAGAAACUAGUGGUUUUACUAACCAUCAAAAAUUAAUGCUCCUACUUGAUUUCUACUUUCGCGGUGUCAAACAUCGCGACUUGCUCAAGGAUCAUCAUGUCUAUCCCUGAUAUGUUAUAGUUCAUCACGAAGCUCUAAUAGCUUGGUGGCAGUGACUAUGGAGAACCAUCACUAUCUCAUCUGGAAGAUUAACUCCCACUCAAUUCAAGUGAUUGUAGUACUCAGACAAUCUGAGCACAUGCUCAACGAUUGAGCUUUUCUCCCUUAGUUUGCAGGAUUAAGAAACUUGUCAGAGGUCUCAUACCUCUUGACGUGGGCACUAGUCUGAAAUCCCAAUUUCAGUCUUUGGAACAUCUCAUAUGUUCUGCGACGUUUCAAAACCGUCUUUGGUGCCACAAUUUUAAACCGUUCAACAUUACGCACUGAACUAUCACGUAGUCAUCAAAACGUGUAUGUCAGAUGUUCGCAACAUCCACAAACGACGCUCGAGGUUCAGCACACCGAGCGGUGCAUUAAGGACAUAAGCCUUCUGUGCAGCAGUGAGGACAAUCCUCAGUUUACGAACCCAGUCCGCAUAAUUGCUACUAUCAACUUUCAACUAAAUUUUCUCUAGGAACAUAUCUUAGUAGAACUAAAGCGUAAGCUACGACAUUAUUUGCAAAGACCUUUUGACUAUGUUCAUGAUAAUUAAGUUCAUCUGAUUAUUUAAUGAACUCCCACUCAGAUAGACAUCCCUCUAGUCAUCUAAGUGAUACAUGAUCCGAGUCAAACUAGGCCGUGUCCGAUCAUCAUGUGAGACGGACUAGUCAUCAUCGGUGAACAUCUCCAUGUUGACCGCAUCUUACUAUACGACUCAUGUUCGACCUUUCGGUCUCUUGUGUUCCGAGGCCAUGUCUGUACAUGCUAGGCUCGUCAAGUCAGCCUAAGUGUUCUGCUUGUGUUCUGAGGCCAUGUCUGUACAUGCUAGGCUCGUCAACACCCGUUGUAUGCGAACGUUAGAAUCUAUCACACCCGAUCAUCACGUGGUGCUUCGAAACAACGAACCUUCGCAACGAUGCACAGUUAGGGGGAACACAUCUCUUGAAAUUUUAGUGAGGGAUCAUCUUAUUUAUGCUACCGUCGUUCUAAGCAAAUAAGAUGUAAACAUGACAAACAUCACAUGCAAAUCAUAAAGUGACAUGAUAUGGCCAAUAUCAUCUCGCGCCUUUUGAUCUCCAUCUUCGAGGCGCGGCAUGAUCACCUUCGUCACCGGCAUGACACCAUGAUCUCCAUCAUCGUGUCUUCAUGAAGUUGUCUCGCCAACUAUUACUUCUACUACUAUGGCUAACGGUUAGCAAUAAAGUAAAGUAAUUACAUGGCGUUUUUCAUUGACACACAUGUCAUACAAUAAAUUAAGACAACUCCUAUGGCUCCUGCCGGUUGUCAUACUCAUCGACAUGCAAGUCGUGAUUCCUAUUACAAGAACAUGAUCAAUCUCAUACAUCACAUAUAUCAUUCAUCACAUCCUUUUGGCCAUAUCACAUCACAUAGCAUACCCUGCAAAAACAAGUUAGACGUCCUCUAAUUGUUGUUGCAUGUUUUACGUGGCUGCUAUGGGUUUCUAGCAAGAACGUUUCUUACCUACGCAAAAGCCACAACGGUGAUAUGCCAAUUGCUAUUUACCCUUCAUAAGGACCCUCUUCAUCGAAUCUGAUCAGACUAAAGUGGGAGAGACAGACACCCGCUAGCCACCUUAUGCAUCAAGUGCAUGUCAGUCGGUGGAACCCGUCUCACGUAAGAGUACGUGUAAGGUCGGUCCGGGCCGCUUCAUCCCACAAUGCCGCCGAAUCAAGAUAAGACUAGUAACGGUAAGCAAAUUGAACAAAUCAUCGCCCACAACUACUUUGUGUUCUACUCGUGCAUAGAAUCUACGCAUAGACCUGGCUCAUGAUGCCACUGUUUGUGAACGUAGCAGUAAUUCAAAAUUUUCUACGCAUCACCAAGAUCAAUCUAUGGAGUCAUCUAGCAACGAGAGAGAGGAGUGCAUCUACAUACCCUUGUAGAUCGCGAGCGGAAGCGUUCAAGUGAACGGGGUUGAUGGAGUUGUACUCGUCGUGAUCCAAAUCACCGAUGAUCCUAGCGCCGAACGGACGGCACCUCCGCGUUCAACACACGUACGGAGCAGCGAUGUCUCCUCCUUCUUGAUCCAGCAAGGGGGAAGGAGAGGUUGAUGGAGAUCCAACAGCAUGACGGCGUGGUGGUGGAAGUAGCGGGGAUCUCGGCAGGGCUUCGCCAAGCUCAGCGAGAGGGAGAGGUGUCACGGGAGGGAGAGGGAGGCGCCAGGGGCUGUGGUGUGGCUGCCCUCCCUCCCCUCCACUAUAUAUAGGGGCCCUGGGGGGGGGCGCCGGCUUGCCCCCGAAGCCAAGUGGGCGCCCCACCCCUAGGGUUUCCAACCCUAGGCGCAGGGGAAGGCCCAAGGGGGGGGCACCAGCCCACUAGGGGCUGGUUCCCUUCCCACUUCAGCCCAUGGGGCCCUCCGGGAUAGGUGGCCCCACCCGGUGGACCCCCGGGACCCUUCCGGUGGUCCCGGUAUAAUACCGGUGACCCCCGAAACUUUCCCGGUGGCCGAAACUGGACUUCCUAUAUAUAAUUCUUCACCUCUGGACCAUUCCGGAACUCCUCGUGACGUCCGGGAUCUCAUCCGGGACUCCGAACAACUUUCGGAUUUCCGCAUACUAAUAUCUCUACAACCCUAGCGUCACCGAACCUUAAGUGUGUAGACCCUAUGGGUUCGGGAGACAUGCAGACAUGACCGAGACGACUCUCCGGUCAAUAACCAAUAGCGGGAUCUGGAUACCCAUGUUGGCUCCCACAUGUUCCAUGAUGAUCUCAUCGGAUGAACCACGAUGUCGAGGAUUCAAUCAAUCCCGUAUAGAAUUCCCUUUGUCAAUCGGUAUGUUACUUGCCCGAGAUUCGAUCGUCGGUAUCCCAAUACCUCGUUCAAUAUCGUUACCGACAAGUCACUUUACUCGUACCGUAAUGCAUGAUCCCAUGGCUAACUCCUUAGUCACAUUGAGCUCAUUAUGAUGAUGCAUUACCGAGUGGGCCUAGAGAUACCUCUCCGUCAUACGGAGUGACAAAUCCCAGUCUCGAUUCGUGCCAACCCAACAGACACUUUCGGAGAUACCUGUAGUGCACCUAUAUAGUCACCCAGUUAUGUUGUGACGUUUGGUACACCCAAAGCAUUCCUACGGUAUCCGGGAGUUGCACAAUCUCAUGGUCUAAGGAAAUGAUACUUGACAUUAGAAAAGCUCUAGCAAAACGAACUACACGAUCUUGUGCUAUGCUUAGGAUUGGGUCUUGUCCAUCACAUCAUUCUCCUAAUGAUGUGAUCCCGUUAUCAAUGACAUCCAAUGUCCAUGGUCAGGAAACUAUAACCAUCUAUUUAUCAACGAGCUAGUCAACUAGAGGCUUACUAGGGACAUGUUGUGGUCUAUGUAUUCACACAUGUAUUACGGUUUCCAGUUAAUACAAUUAUAACAUGAACAAUAGACAAUUAUCAUGAACAAGGAAAUAUAAUAAUAACCAUUUUAUUAUUGCCUCUAGGGCAUAUUUCCAACAAAAUUCACAAAUAUUCCAAAACCCUUCGGGGUUACCCUAGAUCGGAAGUUUCGCCGCCGCAAGGCUCUGUAGCCACCGAAAACCAAUCUAGACCCCGUUCCGGCACCCUGCCGGAGGGGGGAAUCAUCUCUGGUGGCCAUCUUCAUCAUCCCGGCGACCACCACGAUGAGGAGGGAGUAGUCCACCCUCGGGGCUGAGGGUUUGUACCAGUAGCUAUGUGUUUAAUCUCUCUCUCUCUCGUGUUCUUGAGAUGCCACGAUCUUGAUGUAUCACGGGCUUUGUUAAUAUAGUCGGAUCAUAUGGUGUUUUCCCCUCUCACUACUAGAAAAAGGGCUAUAGAUGGGAUUGACACUAAUGGCGCACCAGACAAGCGGUGCGCCAUUAGUAUAUACUAAUGGCGCACCACCUUCUGAUACGCCAUUAGAGUUGAAACUACUAAUGGCGCACCUGGCCCAGGGUGCGCCAUUAGUAUCAAAUUUUUUUUAACUAGUGCGCCUGUCCAAACAUACUAAUGGCGCAUCCAGACACAGUGCGCCAUUACUAGUUGUAACUAGUAAUGGCGCACCUGGCCCAGGGUGCGCCAUUAGUAUCAAAUUUUUUUUUAACUAGUGCGCCUGUCCAAACAUACUAAUGGCGCAUCCAGACACAGUGCGCCAUUACUAGUUGUAACUAGUAAUGGCGCACCUGCCGGAAAGUGCGCCACUAAUGUUGUUUUUUCUAUUAUAUUUUUUAUUCCUUUUUUUGCAAAACUACCAAUGGCGCACUUUUCCACCGUGCGCCAUUACUAGUUUAAACUAGUAAUGGCGCACUGUGGAACAGUGCGCCAUUAGUAUGUUUUUUUUGCAAAACUACUAAUGGCGCACCACCAGAAGGUGCGCCAUUAGUAACCUGGAUUACUAAUGGCGCAUUUAGAGUUGGUGCGCCAUUAGUAAGUGGGCAGCAACAAGAUAUUUUGUACAGCCUCUCCUACCCACACUCACUUUCUCCCCACUUCAUUCUCUCCACCUCCUCCUUGUCUCGGGUGCCUCCUCUUUUUCACCUCAUUUCCACCAUAGAUUCAUUCAAUUUAAGUGGUUAAAUUACCUUGUUUUGAUAGGUAAGUAAGGGGGGAAGCUAUAUUUAUGUUGUUCUCCCUACAACAAUGUGCACAUGCACUUUUUUUAUGGCCUAGCUAGAUCUAUGUAUGUUCGUGGUGUUGCAUAUGUUUGUGGUGUUGCAUAUGUGUUUGUGUUUGGAGGUGUACCGGUAUUUGAAAUGCGAUAGUUGCCAAUAUUUUGCCGGAAUGUUGAUUCAUUUCCGUUUCGGCGAGAAUUUUGGCAUUAAGCAUUCUUUUUGGUCCUAUUUUUAGGGAAAGUCAUGCCAAAUUUUUUCUUGGUUCUAAAAUAUCGUUUUGCUCUACCCCGCAGGCGACCAUGGUCCGCAUGAUGACCGAAGGCAUCGUGAAUAGGUUUUUGAGGUCCGCGAAGGCCGAGAUGCUUCAAAAGAACGAGACGGAGAUAAGAUGUCCGUGUCGAAGAUGCAAGCUGAAGAGCCUUAUUGCGGACCCGGAAUCCGGGCAGGUGUGGGACCACCUGCUCUUGCGUGGUUUCAUGGAUGGCUAUCGGUGGCAAGGUGAUGAAGAUGACUACGAAGUCGUCCAUGGGGGCCGGGCAAGAAAUGAGGAAGGGCAGCAAGACAACCACCGCGGCUCGGGCGGGUGAGAAGACGAAGAAUCCCCAGGAGAUGAUCACGACGGUGAUGCUGUACACAGUCAUCAUGUAGAAGAUGCAGGACAUGAUGAUGAGGAAGAUGCCGGAGCAGACGACGGGCAUGAUCAUGAAGAUGAUGAUGCCGACGGAGCAGACGACGCUGGACCGUCAAUGGGCUGGGUGCAGGACCCUCAUAUUCAAGAGCUGCUUCUCAAGAAGACGGAUAACGCAAGAGCUGCCGCCCGAGAGAAAGCCAAGAUGGAUCAACUUGAGUUAGACGCGGUUACUCCAUUGUAUGAAGGAUGGAGGCCCGAGGAUACCCGCCUGAAAGUAACGCUCAUGGCUCUGGAGAUGAAGGUAAAACACAAAAUGACCGACGCAUGCUUCGACGAGAACAUGUCAUUCUGGCACGAACGUCUUCCCAAGGGGAACAAGUGCCCGACCAGUUUGGAGGAGGCGAAGAAAAUCGUGUGUCCUCUGGAUUUACCGCACGUGAAAUACCAUGUGUGCAUGAACAAUUGCAUCAUUUAUCGGGACGAGCACGCGGAGUCUACCAUAUGUCCGGUGUGCGGCGUCACUCGAUACAAGAAGAGGAAGAAAGCUCCUCGAAAAGUGGUGUGGUACUUUCCGAUCACUCCUCGUCUGCAGCGGUAUUUCGCGGACCCUAAGGUAGCAAAGCUCCUGCGUUGGCACGCGGAUAGGGAGGAGAAGAAGCGAGAAGAUGACGCAAAUGAUCCGGAGAUAGAUAAAAAAGACAAGAUGCUGAGUCACCCUAAGGAUGCGAGCCAGUGGCAAGCGUUGAACUUCGAAGACCUAGAAUUUGGGAACGAUCGAAGGAACAUCGUGCUGGGCGCGAGCACCGAUGGAGUCAAUCCAUUUGGAAGCCAGAGAAGCACACAUAGCACCUGGCCUGUGUUUGUGUGGAUGUACAACCUUCCCCCUGGUUGUGCAUGAAGAGGAAGUACAUUCACAUGAGUAUGCUAAUUGAAGGACCGAAACAACCAGGGAACGACAUCAAUCUGUAUCUGGGGCUGCUGAAAGAGGAGCUUGACACGCUGUGGAAAAUGCCAGCCAAUACGUGGGACGCCGCAGAGAAAGAAUAUUUCCCUAUGAGAGCCGCGCUGCUCACGACGGUGCACGACUAUCUCGGUUACGGAUAUGUCGCGGGGCAGGUGGUCCACGGAUUUUCUGGAUGCGUCAGGUGCAUGGAUGACACAACGUAUCGCCAGCUAGAUAGAGAUCCCGGGUCUUUGAAAACCGUGUUCAUGGGACAUCGAAGGUGGCUUCGCGACGAUGACCCGUGGAGAAAACGCAAGGAUCUAUUCGAUGGUGAAACCAAACCCCGAGGACACCCGCGUACGAGGAGCGGCGAGGAAAUAGACGAGCUGUUGAAAAAUUGGAAAGACUGCCCACUGCCGGGAAAGAAGCAAAAGGCGCCAGAGCCGGGAAAGAAGCGAAAGGCGCCAGAGCCGCUGCUGAAGGUAUGGAAAACGAGGUCUGUUUUCUGGGACUUGCCAUACUGGAAGAUCCACCGUGUGCCUCACAGCCUUGAUGUCAUGCAUAUCACGAAGAACGUGUGUGAGAGUCUGCUUGGUACCCUGCUCAACAUGCCAGAGAGGACCAAAGAUGGGCCGAAAGCAAGGGCAGACUUGAAAUCAAUGGGCAUCAGGCAGGAGCUUCACGCUAUAUAUGAUGAUGAUGAUGAUGAUGAUGAUGAGGCGAAGCAGGACACGGAAAGUCGUCGCAAAGGCAAAAAGGCCAAGAAGACCGGAAAUGACUACCCUCCCGCGUGCUUCACUCUAAGUCAGGAGGAGAUCGAGCAGUUUUUCACCUGCCUCGUAGGAGUAAAACUUCCUUACGGUUACGCGGGGAAGAUAAGCAGAUACCUAGACCUAGCGAAGCUGAAGUUCAGCGGGAUGAAGUCUCACGACUGUCACGUGCUGAUGACGCAGAUACUUCCAGUUGCAAUCCGUGGGAUCAUGGACGCGCACGUCCGUGAAACGCUAUUUGGCCUAUGCAACUUUUUCGACGUCAUCUCUCGGAAGUCUGUUGGCGUGAGGCAACUCAGAAGGCUACAGGAAGAGAUCGUGGUGAUACUAUGCGAGCUUGAGAUGUACUUCCCGCCCGCAUUCUUCGACGUUAUGGUGCAUCUGCUGGUCCAUAUCGUGGACGAUAUCAUCCAACUCGGGCCGACGUUCGUGCACAGCAUGAUGCCGUUCGAAAGGAUGAAUGGUGUCAUCAAAGGAUACGUUCGCAACAUGUCACGUCCAGAGGGAAGCAUAGCCAGGGGCUUUCUGACCGAAGAGUGCAUCUCCUACUGCACGAAUUAUCUAGGCAUCGAGAACCCCGUUGGUCUGCCCGUCAACAGGCACCUCGGCAGGCUCGCUGGAUGGGGUCACCGUGAGGGUCGCCGCGAAAUGCAUGUCGACUUCGAGGGUCGACUCGCCGACUUUGAAAGAGCAAACCUAGUCGCGCUACAACACAUAGACGUGGUCGAUCCUUGGGUGGUAGAGCACAAAACCUUUAUUAAGAAGACGUACAAUGACCGAGGCCAACAGAGGACGGACGGAGAUAUACUCAAAGAGCACAACUCAUGUUUCACGCGUUGGUUCAAGCAGAAGCUUCUGUCGUACCCUUUACAUGAGGAUUCUUCCGCGGAAGAACAACUCAUAUUCACCUUGUCACAGGGCGCCGAGCACAACCUGAUGACCUAUGAGGCGUACGAUAUCAACGGCUACACAUUCUACACCGAGGCCAAGGACAUGAAGAGCGAUGGUUAUCAGAACUCCGGGGUAACGAUGGAAUCCUACACCGGUAACGACAAGGACAGAUACUACGGAAGGAUCGAGGAGAUCUAGGAGCUGAGCUACGCUGGAGAGAAGGUCCCGAUGUUCCGUGUCAGAUGGGCCAAGAGCGUCCUAAAAGAAGACCGGUAUUUCACCAGCAUGGUUAUACCCGAAGCUAAAUCCAAGACCGCAGGUGCAAACGUCACCGCGAAAAAUGAGCCAUGGGUACUGGCUUCCCAAGUGGACCAAUGCUUCUUCAUUACCGACCCGUCAAAGCCCAGUCGUGUUGUCGUGAGGAGAGGCAAAAGGAAGAUCAUCGGAAUGGAUGGAGUAGCCAAUGAGCAAGACUUCGACAAGUACGGCGACCCGAGAAUCGAACAUGACGACGAUGAUGAAGUAGUAGCAUACACCACAAGAAGAAGCAGGACCACCCUACCUAAAGGACGUCCGUUCCACAGAAGAACUCCAUUUGCGAAAAAGAAGGGCAAGAAGAUUGUGAACAGAUAGCUAGCUAAGAUCGAUUAUAUUUAAAUCAUAGCCUUCAUUUCUCGAUUGUAUUUCAUGGACACUUUUUGAACUAUCAUGAAUAUUUUUAAAUUUCAUGGACACUCGAUCUCGAUCCCCCUCCUUCUCGAUCGCUAUCCCACCUCGCCAGAUCCGGUCCCCCUCGCCGCCGAGCACUCCCCGGUCCACCGGCCCCCCGCACCCCGCGCACCCUCCCCCGCUCCACCGGCAUUACUGUUUGAUGAUAUUUAAAAAAAAAUUAUUACUGUCUUAUAAAAAAAUAUUACUGUUAUGAUUUAAAAAAGUUUGAACAUAUUUAAACACAAAUAAAUAUCAAACAGCAUUUUAAAUGCAUAAAAAAAUUGUGGAGCCUGGGAAUCGAACCCAGGACCUCCUGGUGUGAGAACUGGCUGCUGACCAGUCGAGCUAGUAGAGGGAACUUGGUGUGGAUCAGGUCAGGUGGAAGAUAACCUGUUGGCUCGAGCAGAAAUCAAAAAAAAAUACUAAUGGUGCGCCAUUAGUAUGGAUGUACCUGUUGGAAGAUAACCUAUCCCCUCUCUCUCCCUCGCCCUCGCCCUCGAUCCCCUUCCCCUCUCCUCUCCCGACGCCGCUGCCCCGCCACCUCGACGCCGCCCCGUCGUCCUCGUCUCUGCCCCGACGCCGCUGCCCCUUCCCCUCUCCUCUCCCGAUGCCGCUGCCCCGACCUCCUCCUCGCCCCUCGACGUCGCCCUCGAUCCCCUUCCCCUCUCCUCUCCCGACGCCGCCGCCCCGUCGUCCUCGUCCUGCUCCUCGUCCGCGCCACCGCCGCGCCGCUCCGACCUCCUCCUUGUCCCCUCCGGCCUCCUCCGCCUCCUCAGGUACUGCCCCCACCUCUCCCUCCCCCUCCGGCCUCCUCCUUCCCCUUUGUAAAUUUUAGGGUGUAGGGUUUGCAAAUAAUCAAUCUUCUGUAUGUUCUACACGGUUCCAGUCUGAAACUACUCGGUGUAUGUAAGCACCUAGCAUGUACAUGUGAACUCAUGAAUUUUACACGAAGUUUCUGUUUGUGCUUGUUUGGAAUUCCUUUGAGAAACAAUGAGAGUUCACUAACUGAAUGGAUUAUAUCGGCUUGUAAUUUGUCUGUAACAUCAUGGCCCUUGGGCCAGUUUGAGUAAUAUAUAUAGGUGGCAGUGGCGUAGAUUGAAAGAAAUCUUAGGAGGGCGAAGAUACAUUUAUUAGUCCCUAAUGGUAUGGAUUAAAUCACUUAUACUUGAAGUGUCGAUCUUGUGUACCAUAAACUUUGCAAUUCUACAAAAGGGUCUGCAUAAGGCCUGCUUCAAAUCUGCUCGCCACACAUCAUCGCUUUGAUUAGGCAGAUAUUGCCAAAUAUGUGGACACAGUGCUGGAUACCGUUCCAAGAAUUCAAUCCCUCAGAAUAAGACUUGAAUUGUUUGAGUUUGAUGUCAUUGUUCUUUAUGACUUUGAUGUUCAAACUGGAGUAACAAGAGAGGAGGCCGAGCAUUCAUUAGCUUCACCACAUUCACCUCUAUUUCUUUUGUAUAAAAUGAAUCAAUAGUACAAAGCAUUCCCCUGAACCAUGGCUAGCUUCGGUCCUUUAUAAUUAACCGAGUAGCAAAAACAGUAGCAAUUUAAAAAAACAGUACCAAAAAAAUUAGGUAUAAAAACAGUAGCAAAUAAAAAAUAUUAGCAAAUAUAGCUAGGGUAAUUUUGUUUAGGUAUAAAAAUAGUAGCAAUUUUAAAAGAAUAGUAGCAAUUUUAAAAACAGUAGCAAAAAAAUUAGGUAUAAAAAGAGUAGCAAAUAUAGCUAGGGAAAUUUUGUUUAGGUAUAAAAACAGUAGCAAAUAAAAAAAAGCAGUAGCAAAUUAAAAAAAAGUAGCAAAAAAUUAGGUAUAAAAACAGUAGCAAAUAUAGCUAGGGCAAUUUUGUUUAGGUAUAAAAAACAGUAGCUACAAUUUGUAAAAAGCAUGAGAAACUGAAAAAUCAUCCUGAAAUAUAGCUAGGACAAACUUCAGUCUUUUUUUGUUUGUAACAGAAACUACAGUAGUAAAUAUUUCCUGAAGUAAAUAUUUUCAGUCAUUACAAAUAUGAUGAUGCACCCUCAGGUUUGUCAAGUUCAGCUAAGAAAAACAAACACAUGUAAAAGCGACAAGGAUGGCUCUCAGCCAAACCAAAGCAAGCUAUCCAUGUAAGAGAUCAGCUCACUCCAACAACUUUACUUAGUCUAUUACAAAAACCAAACAAUCUCUUUCUGAAAGCGACUGUCGUUUAAAAGAAGCUCAUCACACAAUCAACUUCCAGCGUAGCUCGAAACUUUUUCAAUCUUCAAUUCUUUGCAUACAUUGGCACACACCCGACGUUCGUGAAACAUCUCGGAUGCCACCAGCAGUAACCUGCGCGUCCCUGCUACUGCUACCUGCAGAUUGCACAAGUCAAUUCUCUGUUUUAUUUGCUUUAACAUAACGGAAUAACUAAUGGUGGCUGCCUAAUGAUGACAGACUAAGUUUCUGAUUUAUUUUGUUAUAGAAGUGUAGAUUCAUUGAUAGCAAUUGUUUUCAGUGUCUCAUGUUGCUUAUAGUGUUUUGUCCAAAAUGUUGAAUGAUACUGCUUGGAGAUGCAUAUAUUGUUUCACCUCUUCACAUGCCAAUGUAUUUUCCAUGUUGUGAUGGAGGCCUUUUUUGCCUUGUCCACCCGAGAGGCCCUUGAGUUUGCCGGAAUGUCGAUUAACUUCCGUUCCGGCAAAUUCGGGUACUCCAUAUGUCCUAUUUUCAGCAAAGGUCAUGCUGAAAUUUUCCGUGAAUUUUAGCAUGACUUUGCUAAAAAUAGGACAUAUGGGGUACUUGUGACUAAUGCAUGGGCCGGGGUAUCUUAGUAGGUAAUUAAGUAGGAUCAAGUGCCCCGGCGUACUUGUGACUAAUGCAUGGCUUUUAGGGUGCCUCGGUGUCGAUAAAAACCGAAAUGAUGAAAGCUUAGGCUUUUAGGGUGCCUCGGCGUCGAAAAACCCUCAAUGAUAAAAGCUUAGCUUUUAGGAUGCCUCGGUGUCGACAAACCCUAAAUGAUGAGACCAUGAUCUUGUUCCUUGACAAUAACCAACUUUUUGACCAAACUUUGUUCCUAUUUAGAGAGAAACAUGGCCAACAACGAUGAGGCCGGGGGUUCGGGCGUCGACAAGCCAUUCUGGAAGCUGCCCCAGGAGAUGGAGGAACAACCUCACUUGUAUGAGGACGCCGCCUUCCCCACCGAUCCUGAGACCACUGAUGGUACCGCCGAGGAUGACCCCACUGAUGCCACCACUGAUGGUGCCGCCGAGGAUGCCACCACUGAUGAUGGCGGCGCACGCACAGAUGGCAGCCAACCGAAGAGGCAACGGAAGGACCGGCGCCCGACCGUGCUCCUCACCCUCAAGGAGGAAGUUACUGAAGUGGACUCCGACGGGAAUCCAACGGCGCCCGAACGAAUAGUCAAGGGGUACUCGCUUCAGCUCGGGUGCAUUCUCCGGAGCACCGUCUCGAUCAACACCGAGAACCUGAGGCAUCCUGACCGAGGGAAUUUGCGCAACCUCCUCUUCACGAAGCUGCACGAACGAUACAAGUUCCCCGCUGAAUUUGAAAACACAAGCCUCAAAGGGAAUAAAGUGAACAAUGCUGCCCUCACGAAGAUGAGCAAGGCCCUGUCUACUUGGAAAAGCAAUGUGAAGAGAAUGAUCGAGAAAGGUGAGAGUUAUGAGAAGAUCAAGGAGAAAAAUCCUUCGAUCACCGAAGAUGACUACAACGACUUCAAGAUCAAUUGCUCGAGCACCGCAAACUCCGAAUCAAGUAAGUGGGGGAAAGAAAUGCGGGAGCUGACCUUAGGGGAACACAUACUCGGUCCCGGCGGUUACAGAGUGGCGGAGCCUAUAUGGGACAAGGAGGAGGCGGACCGUGCCGAGCAAGGCCUACCGCCCCUCUUUGAUAAAUACGGUGACAAGCAGACCAGGAACUUUGUCAGGGCCCGGUACAAGAAGGACCCGAAAACAAAGGAGCUUACCACGGAUCCGAAGACCAGGGCGCUUGAGCUUGUUCUGGUAAGGAAUACACCCCCGCGUAAUUAGCUCCAUAUGGUUGCAUUCUAAUUAAUGAAGCCAAAUUUCUAAAUGGUUCACAUUCCUUCCGCAGGCGACUGAAAGCAGUAGCGCGGGGUCGACUAAGAGCAACCCUUGGGACACCACUCUAAAUAGGGCGUUGAAUGUAAUGAAGAACAAGGAUAAGCUCAGUAAGCCGACGUCAGCUGGUCGUGUGGCCGGCAAAGGCUUGUCGACAAAAUGGUCGUCAUACUAUAACACUGCUGGGCGAAAGGAGAAAAAGACCAGCUCGGAAAGCCAGGCGCGCGAGGUUCAAGAACUCAGGGCACAGGUGGCGCGGAUUCCGGAGAUUGUCCAAGAGCAAGUGCAACAACAACUCGGAGCGACGAUCACCGCCAUUGUGCCUACCUUGAUCCAGGGGAUUAGUGCGUGGAUUGCGGGCGGCCAACAGGGGCCGCCCCCGAUUCCUAGCUUCACGGCCAGCAACUCGCAGAACGCGAUGGCGGGGCCAUUGGUGUCUCCGGCGGAGGCAGCAUUGGUGUCUCCGACGCCGGCACGGGAGCUUAAUGCACCCGGGUGUACGCCGGCCGGCACCUCUGCAGCAAGCGGCCCCUCCGUCAACUGCACGCCCGCCGUUGGCGGUGCCUCGACAUUAGCCGAGCUCGACGCCAUCAUCACGGUAACUAAUUAAGCCUCUCUCAGCCGAGGACUUCAUCUCCUUGCCUUUGACUGGGCAUCCCUAAUGCCCUACAUGUUUUCGCAGGGCGCCGCCGACGUUCCGUGCACUCUCCCGCACUUCGUGAACAACGAGUUGGUCGAUGUCGCCAAGGGCAAAAUCGUUCAACCGGGCAACCCCUUGUUCCACGGUACCCAGAUGCCACCCAACUUGUUUAGGGUUCAACUGGUUCGGGUGCUGCCAGGCUGCGACGAGUUGUUACCUCCGAUUCGACCCAUCGGGGCCGACGAUGAUGACGUGAUGACCCUCAGCGCCUGCCUGAGCUGGCCCCUGCUUUGGCCGAAGAGCCAGAUUCGUUUGGGGGCGGGGGACACCACCCCAAAGACAACACGGCCAGUCGUGCCUGCGCCAAGUCGGCCCCAUGGCAAGACCGCCGCAACGGUGCCGGACAUCCCUAUGCCACUGGAUCCAAACAUGCAUAUGGCACAGGAUCAGAACGACGACGAGGACGAUACAUUUGCCAACGUCGAUCAGUAGUUUGCCGAUCAUGGGGACGGUGGCAACUUCAUGGGGCCUCCUUCUCAAGAACCCAACCCAACAAAAGACGUGUGCGAUCUAGCUGGUACCGCGGAGAAGCCAAGUUGCAACAGGCGUCGUCUGUAGUUCAGCUCUCAGGAGACGCCUCCAGCUGCCGACUUCACCGAGCCUCAGAUAGGCGAGGUGCGAAAUAUGAUCAGCCCCAACACACUCAAGAAGGCGGUCUGUGAGCAGAACUCGGUACCAUUACAGGAGAAGAAGAAGGCACGCAAAAGAAAUACUAACAAGGGUGCGGGCCAGCCGGCACCGAGUACGAUCCGUGCUCAGGACGGGCCACCUUCAACUGCGGAUAUCUCGAGGAGGGUGCAUGUGGCGGGUAGGCCGAUGCUACCGAGAAAUAUGCUCGAUGCUGCAACCGGUGCUAUGCGGAGUCUGCAUGACAGUGUUCUUUCUUUGGAGAAGCGGCGUCUCCGAGAGAAGGAUGUGGCAUACCCGGUUUUCGCGGCCAAGGUGCCAGAGGGCAAGGGCUUUGUGGAUAACUCCAUCGGGGGUACGAUCGUCCUGCGGUUUGAUGACAUCCACGCUAUGUUGAACCUUCAUCCGCUGCACUACACCUUCGUUCGGCUAUUUUCGCUGAGUAUGGAGAUGCGGAUCAUUCGCGACAAGACCCCGGACAUCGUGAUAGUCGACCCCUUCUACAUGCGUGCCAAGAUCUUGGGCAACGCUGGGGACCGGCAAGUCGCGAGUUCUUACCUCGAAGGCGUCAUUCUGGCAAACCAAGAUAAGGAUAACUUCCUCGUGCCUUACUUUCCCGAGUAAGUCCUCCCCUCAACCGCCCCGUAACAUAUGAAUUCUUAGAUUUCGAUCGUUUUUCUUUUAACAUUCCGUGUUUUCUGCAGUGACACACAUUGCACGCUCAUCCUCCUAAGCUCCAAAUAUUCCAUGGCCACGUAUUUCGACCCGGACCGUCAGUCGAACGUAGACUACACAAAUGUCAAGAAGGUUCUUGAUGAUGUUCUCCCCGGCUACGUCAAAUCUGGAGGCACCUUCACCAGGCCUAUUCGUAAGUACGGCAAGCACGUGUUCUCCCACAAUACGACGUUCUGCUGCGUCAAGCAGCCGCCUGGCGGUCAGAAGGGUGCCUACUAUGCCAUCCAUCACAUGCGGGCGAUCGUACAGGACCAUCAUCAACUACUGCUACCGAGUAGACUCAAAGAUUGGGCCGCGAGCGUGUCGGCAAUCCAGGACGCGGACAUCAGACAAGAAUUCUUUCGCAUCCAGUCGGAGUUUGCGGAAAUCAUCCAUCAAGAUGUCCUUCGUACCUCGGGGCAGUUCUACCUCAGAAAUCAACCGUCCAACAGUGACAUCGACACAAUCCUACAAAUGCAGGCUGACAACGCCCGUUGUUUCAUGACUCCCACGAUAGACGGCGGCUUCAUCCACGCUCCGGUCCCUUGAGUCGAGUCGAAAGCAGUGAUGCUGUGUCUAGUUCUGAAACAUCGAUUGGCUCAUGUUGUAAUUAAACUUUAAUGAACUUGUAGUAUGUCUCUUUGGUUUCGAGAGUCCUUCAACUUAGAUGUAAUCGAUGCUAUUAAUGUCUUGCUUUUCUCUUCCGAUCGUUCUGUUGCAUACUUAUAUAUUGCUUAUGUAUUGUCUGUGAAUUGGUACUAACGUUUCGUUUGGCUACUGCAUAGCGAUGCCGUGGUAUGUCGUGUACAAGGGUAAGGUUCCCGGAGUCUACGACGACUGGGAGGAGUGUCGGAGACAGGUUCACCGAUUCAGCGGUAACAGUAACAAAGGGUACGCCACUAGGGCCGAGGCCGAAUCUAGAUACGCCCGCUAUCUAGCGGGAGAGGGGAGGGAGCGUUGGAGGAACCGGAUGAAGACGAGUUUCAUCGUGAUGAUGCUCAUCGUGAUGACCGCAGCUCUCUUCUAUGUGAUGGUAGUUUAGAUGAUCGAUAUCGACUUGUAAUGUGAAGACAAACUCGCGGUCUCGAGACUUAUAAUAUAAUGUUCUAUCUUUGUUCGGUCUUUUCAAUUCGGAGACUAAUAUGAUGAAUUGUAUUCGGAGACUAAAAUGAUGAAUUGUAUUCAGAGACUAAUCUUCUAUUGUAUUCGAUGAAUCUGUUGUUGAUGUGUGCUGUCUAUAUUUUGUCCAAUUAUACAUUUUGUAACCUGUGCAAAAAACAGAAAAUAAAAAAAUAAAAAACCUAAUAUUCAUACUAAUGGUGCAUCACAUCAUAGUGCGCCAUUAGUAUGCCAAAGGAUACUAAUGGCGCAUCACUAAACAUUGCGCCAUUAGUAUGCCGAAGUUACUAAUGGCGCAUCCUGUUGUUGUGCGCCAUUAGUAUGCCAAAGCACUUGGGUAUACAUGGCCCCCUGGGAGGCAUACUAAUGGCUUACUGUUGUAUAUACUAAUGGCGCAUCUGGGGUGCGCCAUUAGUAUACCAGAUACUAAUGGCGCACCAGUGGUGCGCCAUUAGUAAAAUAUACUAAUGGCGUGCUACUAAUGGCGCACCACUAAUGCGCCAUUAAUGGCCAAAUUAGGUGCGCCAUUAGUAGGCCUUUUCCUAGUAGUGUCUCUAUCUUGUGAUGAAUUGAGUUUUCUCUUUGAGAUUUCAUUGUUAUAGGAUUGAAUACUUUUAUGGAUUUGAGAACACUUGAUAUAUGCCUUGCAAUUGAAUACUCAUGGUGACAAUGGGGUAUCGUAUUGAUUCACUUGAUAUAUGUUUUGGCACUCAACUCGCGGAUUCCCGAGGUGACAUUGGGGUAAUCUAUGCAUAGGGGUUGAUGCACAUUCUUGUCUUUGUUUCUCCGGUAGAAAUCUUGGGGCACUCUUUGAAGUUCUUUGUGUUGGAUUGAGUAUUAUGAAUAUGAAUUUGCUUUGGUGUUAUUUUAGUACGAACUCUAGGAUAGAUCGAACGGUAAGAAUAGCUUUGUGUUAUUUAAGUACGAACUCUUGAAUAGAUCAAACGGAAAGAAUAGAUUUGAGGUGGUUUCGUACCCUACAAACAAUUUAUUCUUAUGUUCUCCGCUAGAUAGAAACUUUGGAGUGAUUCUUCAUCGCACUUUGAGGGAUGGUUAUACGAUCCAAUUAUAUUAGCAUUGUCGAGAGAUUGCACUAGCGAAAGUACAGACCCUAGGCCUCAUUUUCAAGCAUUGCAAUACCGUUUUUGUGCCCGUUUACUAUUUGCCACCUUGCUGUUUUUAUUUAUUCAGAUUAUAAAAAUAUAUUUCUACCAUCCAUAUUACACUUUUAUCACCAUCUCUUCACCGAACUAGUGCACCUAUACAAUUUGCCAUUGUUGUAUGUUGGGGACACAAGAGAUUUCUUGUAUUUGGUUGCAGGGUCGUUUGAGAGAGACCAUCUUCAUCCUACACCUCCCACGGAUUGAUAAACCUUAGGUCAUCCACUUGAGGGAAAAUUGCUAUUGUCCUACAAAACUCUACGCUUGGAGGCCCAACAUGAGUCUACAAGAAUAAAGUUGCGUAGUAGACAUCACGUGGCAAUGUAUUACGAUGCAAGUCAGCCAUUUGUCCGAGAAAACCUUGCAUGAAACAUUAGAAGGGGGAAGGCCAACAUACCAAGUCAAAUGCUUUGCUAAAGUCUAGCUUAACCAUGAUGGAAGGAUCCCUGGUUCAAGCACAAACAUGUAGGAUAUCCACAUCAUACAGGAAGUUUCCAGAGAUCAAACUACCCGAGAGGAAGCCAGUUUGGUCUGGUUGAACAAGUAAAGAGAUCACCGGGUUUUAUUAUUAUCAAAUAAACAGUAGGAGAGGCUCCUGCUGUGUUUUCAUAUAAAUGGGGAGGUUACAAGUUACAUUGGUAUGUACAAUCAUUUUUGAUCACCCACCAUUGGGUGUGGAAGGGAGGGGGAAUCACGCCCAAAAAAGUAAAAGAUAAAAACCCUAGCGUAAAGAGGUGACAAAGGACUCUAUGAAAGCCUUAUGGGCCUCCUUGGAUCUGUUUGAGGUAGGCUAAAAUCUUCCUUAAACCUGUUCAGCCAGGCCGCAAAACUGUGGGGGAUGCCUUUGAAGUAGUUAUUGUUCCUUUCUUUCCAUAGGUUCCACACUGCUGCGAGGAAUAUUUUGAUGAACAUGGGUCUGUCCCAAGCUUGCCUGGCCAAAUGAACGAGGUGUAGCCGGCAUGCAGACGUGGACCAAUCAAUGCCCUGUUUUCUCCAGCAGGCACGGCUAAAAGGGCAUGUAAAGAUCAUGUUUCAAUUGGUUGGUAAGGAGUUUUGCGAGGGCUUUCAUGGGACAAUUUUGUAGCGAGAUCAGUCUAAAAGCACCUGCAGUGGUAUCUGACGGGCCUUUGGGCGGAAAAGCUAUCAAAGCCCGGUUUGGGUAGAAUCCGCUGAGGGGUUGAAAAAACUAUGGAAAAUGGUGGUGACUUUCGGCAUUAGGAUAGGUCAGAUUUUUUUGACACUAUCACACUUCCACUUAUUCAUUGAUCAAAAUAGUUAUGUCGUUUAUAAGAGUUUUAUAAUAGUACUAAGGUCAUCGUCGCGCACAUGACGCAAAACAAAAAAACUUAAUGGAUAGGCUAGAUUUUUUUUAUAGAAAGCAGACUCGAAACGUUCUUGUGCAGGACUAGCGUAAAAAAAGUCUUGUGCCAUGAAAGGUGUGUCCAGAUAGCGAGUGGGGGGGAGGUGAGAGAAGGGUAGAGAUCAGAGAGCGAAAAAUUCCAAAUAGGGGUGAAGGGGGCCCGAGCAAGUUUGUGUAAAAACUCGUUAAGAUUUUUUGUUUUGCGUUAGGUGCUAAGAUUUUUUUGUCAUAAAGAAGCAUUGUGAUCUCGCAUCGGGGUUUUGGCCAUCGUGCUCUACAAGGUUUGACAUUUGAGAAAAUCUACCAAAAUGAUAAGUGCCACAUGUGUGGCGUGAAGUAACAUGGCCCAAAACCCCUUCAUUACCAUCCAUUUUGCCACAUCAAACAAAUGACAUCAGCGGAAUCUUUUUGGUUUUGGAACUUGUUUUAUCUUAAAUAAAAAAUCUUGUAAAAAAAUCCGUUUUCAUCAUUAAAUCCAUCUCGAAGAGAUUUUCAAAACUAGAUCUCAUAUUGAUAUGUAUCAACGACUUUUUUAGGGCCAAAAGUUGCCAUGAUAUUACACUGAGUUGCCACAAUGUUUACACUAAAGUUGCCAUGAUAUGCUUCAUCUAUUUUUUUUAGAUAUUAAACUACCAUUGUUUUUCAACUACUUUUCACGGCAAAUUUUAUUAAUUGACCAUGGCAAUUUUUAGUAAUUAACCACGGCAAACUUAAUUCAUGGAUCAUGGCAAUUUUUAGUAAUUCAUCAUGGCAAAUUUAGUUCAUAGAUCAUGGCAAAUUUAGUAUUUUGACCAUGGCAAUUCUAGUAUUUUGACCAUGGCAAUUUUAGUAUUUUGACCAUGGAAAUUAUUUUUGUAUGAACCAUGGCAAAUUUUAGUGCAUGUAUCAUGGCAAAUUUAAGUAUUUCACCAUGGCAAUUUAAAUUUAUGGUUCAUGGCAAAUUUGAGUCAUUGACUAUGCAUUUUUAAUGUAAUUUUGACGACGGAUUUCUUUUUAAUAUGAACCAUGUCAAAAUUAUUUCAUGGAUCAUGGCAAAUUUUAGUAAUUCUUCAUGGGAAGUUUAAUUUCUUAAUUUCCCAUUUUAUAACAUGUCAAAAUUUACUUUAAACGUACAACAAAAAGUAGUUGAAGCAUACAAUGGCAACUUCAGUGUAAACACUAUGGCAAUAUAUGUGCAAUAGACAUGGCAAGUUUUGACCGUCAAAAAAUAUCGUCGAAACAUAUUGAUAUGGGAUCUAGUUUUGAAGUCCUCGCCACGGUGUAUUUAAUGGUAAAAACGGAUUUUCAUCGGAUUUUAUUUGAAAAAUGAAACAUCAUCUGUCUUCAUCCUGAUUUGCAUGCAUGUGUGGAAAAACAAAAAGAUGACGUGUCACAAUGGGUGGCUAGAUGGGCGUUUGGCCCAACUCCUUCAGUCCACACGUGCGGGCGGAAUUGCUUCGUGCCACACGUGUGGCACUUAUCAGGCUCCAAAAUCUAUACGCACUACACUGGAAUGGAGGGAUACCACACACGGUUUCUAAUCAGCAUUUGAAUGCAUGUUGCUAAUCAUUUUGCCUUUGGAAACAUAAUUUUUGGGCGGUAACGAAGGACCGGGUUACCGCCCGCUAACCAAACCCCUGCCUACAACACUACACACUUGAGACUAUAAUUAUGGACCAUUGCCCACACACGUAGGCUCCUUUUUGCAAUUAAACAUAGACAUCCCAACUGGAGUAGAUCCAAAAUAACUCAAAGGGCAGACCCAACAGUAGCAUACGCACGGAAAGAAAGAAGAAGCAUCUUACACUGCCAAAGCCCAGCAUAUACCCCCUCUUCCUUUGCGGGAGCAGCAGCAGCUGCACGUGCCCGCCCCUAUCUGCCCCACGAACCAUCGGUAGAACUCCCCGUUUCUUACCGAUUCACCGCCACGAACCCACAGAUCCCGAUGAACGAAAAGCGACAUUCCUCCCUCGCCCCGCCCAUCUCCACCACCCCCUGCCUGCCCUAUCCCAGACCCGUCCUGCCAUCCGCGCAUGUGCGUGCCCACGCACCAGAUCCCAAAUCAUUUCGCCGUAAUUACACUUGUUUAGCUGGCGGCCUCACCUAACCUCCUCCUCCUUCACGGCACGCCAUGGACGACAGACAAACAAAGCUUCCUCUCUCCCUCUCCCCGCUGGACGGAGCGCUGUUUCGCCGCAAAGAGAGAACGGGAGAAAAAUCGCCGGAGACGGGGAAGAAGAAGACAAGCGUGACUGUGCGAGGAGCAAGAACGUGGGGCUGCGAAACUGUACGAAGAAUAAACUACCGCGAGAGAAGCCGAAGCUGCAGUAGCAGAAGGUGGCCGGCGGGUAGGCCUGCAGCACGGCAGCGCAGAGCUGCCGGCCGCUGCUGCGCAUUCAAUGCCGCCCGCAAGAUAGUACCAACUGGAAACGGAAACAGGAGUUACACAACGGCCGAGCCUAUUUUCGAUCGCCGUGGCCUAGUGAAAUGUAAAAAAGCAGAAGAAGUUAAAAACCGAAGCAAAUUUGAACAAGGUGGAUCGGGAGAGGGCUACUGCAUGCCUAGCUCUAGGCAGCUGUGCAUGGGAUUAUUCUGUUCUUUUUUACUCCUCUUUCUCUUUACUGUUUUCCUUUGGGGGGUUGGAUCAGCGUCUCUUUUCACUCCCAGCAGGCCUUCCCUUUCUACGCGCGCCGCCGCUAGCUCCCCGUCAUUUGCAUCAUGCUCUGCUCACACGGUGGCCACCGGGGUCCACUCGAACCGGCCGGCGUUGAGAGGCACGCCGCGCGCGACGUCGAAGUUGUACCUGCAAUGAGGCAGCGGUAGCACAAUGCUUAGGCGCGGCGGCGUCUGUGAGGACGAUCGAGCGACUGCCAAGACGUGCGUGCGGAUUUGCUCAAUUGUAAAUUUCCACUUACUUGGCGGCGAAGCGCUCGGCCUGGGCCUUCUCCGCGGCGGCGAAGAACUCGUCGAUCUCUGCCGCUGGUGGCAUCCUUGCUCUUGCUCUCGCCUCCAAGUCAUAGUGCAAUGGCGCUGCGGUCGUCGUCGUUGUUGCCGGACACCUCCUGCGUUUGUGCUUCUGCUCGUCCGCCGCCUGGCUCGACUCCAGGUCGCUCAAAUCUACCGGCGAACGGCUCGACGGCGUCGUCUCCCUCCUGGAUUGCCACAAUCCAACAGGUCAAAUUCAGAAGCAAAACCAGGUCCCUCAACUCAAGAUCACCCUGGAGAGUAGAAAACAAUGGGUAAUUCAGCAGAAUUCCCGUCGGUAUCGAGAGAGGAGGACUCACCUGUCCCGGCCGCCGCACUCAGAGUCGCUGACGGAGCUCUCCACGUCGCGACUCUCGCACGCCUGCUGAUCGACCAAGACAGUCAGAACCAAAUCUCGUAAUUCAGCAGCAGAAACGGCCCGAUCGAUAGCUCGAAUUAGCGGAGAAUUCUAGGGCAGUGGACCACUCACCUCCGCUUCAUCCCCGCUCCUCUCUCUAGCCGCCACGUCGACCGCCGUGGACGCGGUGCUGGAGCAGCGCGAGACCCCGGCCCCGACCGCCGCCUCCACCGAGGGCCCAGAGUCCGGCAGCCCCGCUGUGGAAGCCUCCUCACACACCCCCUGUCCCCGCAGCUGAUCCACCACCGCGGCAGCAGGCAUGAACAGCCUCCUGCUCCGGAGAUGCAGGUAGCACCCGGCGGCCGCGUCGCCGCCGUCACGGCCCAGCAACGCAUCCUCCACCGCGCGCGCCGCCGUGGACGUCGUCGCCUGCUGCUGCUUCCUCAUCUUCGCGUCGAGGGCGGCCGCGCGGGACCGCGUGCGGACGCCGAGGGCCACCGGCGCGCGGUGCUCCACGACGGCCGGCGCCGCCCUGCCGCCGCCCGCGGCCGCGGCCCUGCACUUCCGCAUGUACUUCCCCAUCCGCGAACGGACGAAAAGAAAGAACCCGUCGCUUUGGCCGUUUGCCUCCGCAGGCUUCCGAGAGAGAGAGAGAGCCCAGCAAAUUCGCUCCUCCGGCGUACAAAUACCCGGUGCGGUGGGGCCGACCGGAUUCGGAUCGGACGGCCGAGCGCUCGCGCGGGGGAACUGACGGCGCCGUGACCUGGGGGUUUGGCUCAGGUGCAGGGGUCACAGCACGGAUUAAUAUGCAGGGCCAAUAAUCAAGUGACAGAUGUCCUGGUGGGACCAACUAAUAAAGCCUUCUUAUUUCUCUCUAUACCUGAUUCUCAAUCUUCUUCGUUCUUCUUCUAGACUAGAGACCAUGAAUCCGAUCGAGGCCAAGGUGGCGGCGGCGCAAGGCUGAGGUGAUGGUGUGGGCGGCCAAGGCGGGGCCGCGGAGGACGACAUCACAAAGCUGAGGGGCACGCAGCGAUUAGACUUCAGUCAAAAAACGCAGCGAUUGGACCAUGGUUCCUUAGGUAGUGGAGAUGGCAGCACCCAUAGCGUUGAAUUCACAGUCCUCAUGCACGGAGGUGAGUUGGAGCGGCGGAGCACAUCCUCCGUCUUGGCCGCCUUCACGCAGCACGGGGAGCUUCAUUUGUGUGGCGGCCGGCGGCGACGGCGUCGUCGUCAAUGGGAUGACAGCUAGCUACUCUCUCGAGGAAGCACCCUAGCAUUACAAACGUUAAUUUCAUAGGACGUGAAGGUUCGUGGUCUCUACCCUUGAUUAAUGGUGGAGUAGAAGAUUGAGAACCAGGAAACUGGUAGAAUAAAAAGAGAGAAGUAAAAAGGCUUUAUUAGUUGGUCCCAUUGGGACAUGUGUCACUUGAUUAUUGGCCCUGCAUAUUAAUCCGUGCUGUGACCUCUGUACCUGAGCCAAACCCGUGACCUGGAUCUGGACGGGACGGCGUCGGAGGUGACGGUGACGCGGACGGAACGUGAGAUGGUACUGCCGCUGUAACGGCGCACUACACGGUAGUACCGGGCAGUACCGGCGAGGGGAUCGAUCGGACGGUUGGGGUUCGAAUUUUGAAUUUAAAAACUUGGCCCCUCGCAAGGAUGGGCUUGUGGCGUGACGGGGCCGCCGGGCUUAAUUGUGCGAGUUUAAUGCUGCACCGUUGUAACGUGACGAGCCGGACGGGGGUUACUGGUUACGCUCCGAAGCGCACGGCGCAUGCAUGCGUGGAUCACGUUGGUACAUUUUUCUCGAGAUCGGGCUUGUGAAUGCUUCACUGAACGUUCUUUUUUUUUUAAAAAAAAUAUGAACUUUCUUUUGCGAAUGAAAACUGAUUUUUUUUACUAUGCAAUGAACUUCUGUCAAAAAAUAACCAGCGAAUAAACUUUGUGUUCAUGUAGCACUAUAAGCUUCUUCGCAAAAACACACACACGCGCAAUAAGUUGCAACUGUCGUUUGCCGGGCCCUAGAUUACAGUGGGCUUGAUCUCGAUUGGUUGUCUUUUGUUUUUUCACUAAUUAUAAUUACCCCUAAUGCCCUUGUUUGGAUUAUUGUUUCUGUCUCAAAUACCAUUGUAAAAAAUACAGGUCUCUGCUCGUCGUUUUGUUUCCGGCUGGAAAUCUGUUCAUGGCCGGUAAGAUAUACGUGUAGAUAAAUACAUUUGUAUUACAAUACACCGCAUCCAAGCGUGGCCUAAGACGUCAAGGGUUUUCCCGCCCGCUGGUACUGCCGUUGAUCUGUCCCGCCUCCUGUGGCCUUAGGGUCAUGAAGGCCCUGUGGAUCCCAACCCCUUGCCAGCGGGAGGGUUCAUGCCUCAUUUUUAGGGUUUUUUUAGGCCGUUUAGGUUUCAUUCCUGUUCAGGAGGGCGAGGUGGCAGCGACUAUCUAAAAAUAGAAUAAAGGUUCUCCCCGCUUAGCCCUCGUCCCGGAGGUGCAUUUCACUUCGUCGGAGAGCGUGUGGAGGUGUAUUUUCGGCGUAUCUCGUAGGGUUCGGUUGGUGUUGGUCUUUGAUGGAUCAGCAUGGAUAUGGUCUUCGUUCAUCUGCGUUCAUGCAUCUAUAGGUUGGAUCCCUUCGAUCUACGCUUCUCUUCUUCCGCGGCGAUUGUUGUUCUGGUGCGCUGGGGCUUUAGGGCCAUAGAGGAUGUUGUUGGCUCGAGUGAGGGAGAGGUGAUGAAGGCGGUACGCCUUUAGCUCACUCCAGUGUUUGUAGUUAUCGGUAGGUGGUCUAUGGACAUUGGAUGUAAUUUUUGUUACUUCUGAUGUUCUUUGUGCUACCAUGAUGUUCGAUGAAUAUAUUGGAAGUUUUUUCUGCAAAAUAAUUUAACUAACCCUAAACUUUGUUUAAUAGGAGAGAAAAGUAUACUUUUAGUCUCUUAAAUUUUUGCAAAGUAUACAUUUGGUCCUUGUCUUUUUUUUUCAUCGACAUUUCGUUCCUUAAGUUUUCAAACCGGGUACGAUUCAUCCGAAAGGUUGGUUGUGCUGAUGUUGACUGGGUAUUGACCUUUAACCUUGCCACAUUGAUACGUCUUCAACGUAUUUAUAAUUUUUUAUUGUUCCGUGCUAUUAUAGUAUCAAUCCUGGAUGUUUUAUAUGCAAUUAUAUAUCAUUUUUUGGGACUAACCUAUUAACUUAGUGCCCAAUGCCAGUUGCUAUUUUUGUCUGUUUUUUACUUUUCAGAAAAUCAAUAUCAAACAGAGUCCAAACGGAGAAAAAGUUUGGAUUAAAUUUUUCUGGACCAGAAGAGACCCUAGAAGGUUCUGGAGAAGACCUGAAGAGCCACGAGGGAGCGACAAGCUCGAGAGGCGCGCCCCAUGGGGGUGCCCCCCAGGCUUGUGGGUCCCUCAUGGCACCUCUUGACCUAAUUCCACCUCUAUAAAUUCUCAAAUAUUCCCCUGACAUCAGAGAGUCACCCGAAAUACUUUUUCCGCCACCACAAGUUUUUGUUCUCACGAGAUCCCGUCUGGAGGCCUUCUCUGGUACUCUGCCGGAGGGGGAAUCGACCAUGGAGGGGCUCUAAAUCAACCUUGCUGCCCUUUCGAUGACGCAUGAGUAGUUUACGAUAGACCUACAGGUCCAUAGCUAGUAGUUAGAUGGCUUCUUCCCUCUCUUUGAUCUUCAAUACAAUGUUCUCCUUAAUGUUCUUCGAGAUCUAUUUGAUGUAAUGACUUUUUGUGGUAUGUUUGUUGGGAUUCGAUGAAUUGUGAGUUUAUGAUCAAAUCUAUCCAUGAAUAUUAUUUGAGUUUUCUCUGAACACUUUUAUGCAUGAUUGUUAUAGCUAGCUUCGUAUUUCUCUCUGAUCUAUUGAUUUGGUUUGGCCAACUAGAUUGAUUUAUCUUGCAAUGGGAGAGGUGCUUUGUAAUGGGCUCGAUCUUGCGGUGCUCAAUCCUAGUGGGAGAAGGGGACAUGACACGUAUUGUGUCGUUGCCAUUAAAGAUAAAAAGAUGGGGUUUAUUUAUACGUGAGUUUACUUUGUCUACAUCAUGUCAUCUUGCUUAAGGCGUUACUCCGUUCUUUAUGAACUUAAUACUCUAGAUGCAUGCUAGAUAGCGAUCGAUGUGUGGAGUAAUAAUACUAGAUGCAGAAUCGUAUCGGUGUACUUGUCUCGGACGUGAUGCCUAUAUACAUGAUCAUUGGUUUGGAUAUCGUCAUGAUUAAUUAUUUGCUUUUUUAUCAAUUGCCCAACAGUAAUUUGUUUACCCACCGUAUGCUAUUUUCAAGAGAGAAUCCUCUAGUGAAAACUAUGCCCCCCGGGUCUACUUCUUAUCAUAUAUUAAAACCAAAAAUACCUUGCUGCAAUUUUUCUUUAUUUAUUUUAUUUUGUAUUUUUGUUCGAUCUAUCUAUCACCAUAUAAUUUAACCUUGCAAGUAACCGUCGAGGGAUUGACAACCCCUUGUUCGCGUUGGGUGCAAGGAUUUGUUAUCUUGUGUGUAGGUACUGCUAACAAGGAGUUGCGUUGUUCUCCUACUGGAUUGAUAACCUUGGUUCUUAACUGAGGAAAAUACUUAUCUCUACUGUACUACAUCAUCCUCUCCUCUUCGAGGAAAUCCCAACGCAGCUCACAGUAGCACACAUCAGCGCCACAUCACACACAUGGAUUCAAAUCUCUCUCAAUGAAUCUAGCUCGAUAUCCGCCUCCACUAGUAGAAAAUGGGUCAAAUGUUUAGCUCAUUAGUUCUGGUUUGUAUUUGAGCCGGCACUAAUUUGACCAUUAGUGCCGGUUCCAACGGCUAGGCGAGAUGCUCUCAUUAGUACCGGUUCGUGCCGAACUUUUAGCACCGGUUCGUGCCAUGAACCGGUACUAAAGAGAGUGGUGGCAGGAUGUUGUCAGACUGGGGCCCCUCUAGCACCUUUAGUACCGGUUCUUGCCACGAACCGGUACUAAAGGGCGUCCUAUAUAAACCCUUCGUCGACCCGAGCUUGCUCUAUUUUUCCCCUUUCCCCUCUCCUCUCUGUUCUUCCCCUCUACCCUCGAGCUCAUCACACAUUUUGCCCAAAUUUUGUCAAGAUAUUUUUUGACUGGGAUUUUGUCAAGAUUUGAAGGCCCCCAUCCAUUCAAGUGAUCACAAAGGUAAGCAACUUUGUCCUUUCAUCUCUCAUUGCUAGAUUAGCUCUUGCAAUGCUUUAUAUAGUCAUUAAUUUGUGGGUUUUAGUAAUUUGGGAGGAAUUAUAUGUGGUAUUUUAUUUGAUUUAUAUGCAAUUUGAUCUCAAAAUAACUCUUAGUUUGCAUAUGUAGGUGUGGUUUACUUAGUGCCUUCACGUCUCCGUCCUAACCACCGUCGAUCGUCCGCACCGUCCUAUCGCCGGCACCACCUUGUGGUGAGCCUCUUGUUCUUAUCUUUUUUAUAUAAAAAAAAUCAUGUUUGUGUGAUUUAAAUAUAUAGUUGUAUAAUUAUCUUACCCGUAUGUUGUUUGUUAUACAUAGUGCCAUGGUUUUGAUACCCAUCCCCGUCGGCCCUCGUCCGUGUUAUGAUUCAGAUGUGGUAUAUUCUCUUUUAAAACUAUUUGUUGCAUUUCUGUUCAUGACAAAUUAUGCCCAUCAAGUUGACAUAGAUAUUUUUAUCUAGGAGGUAUGUGAACCGGAAAUUCCAACCGACCCUAUUGUCGAGAGGUUAAAUUUAGUUGAAAGAGAAAACGAGUAUUUGAAAGAAAAAUUGAAAAUAAUUGAGGGGGAGAAGAUGGAAUUGGAGUUGCAUGUUGCCGAUGUCGUUGUUGAUCACAAGAUCAAGAUGGAGAAAAUGCGCUUGAAGAUUAGAAAGAUUAGAAAAUAUGCCAUUGAUAGUGAGGCUUGGUAUCAUUAUGCUGUUGGAUCAAUUGUUACCUUAGUUGCGAUCUUGAUCGCAUUUGUUGUUGCAUUUAAAUGCUUUAGCUAGAGAGUUAUUUGUAUGUUGCAUUUAAGUGUUGUAUGAACUUUAUGUAUGAACUUGUAUUAAUUUGGUCUUUUCAGUGUUGUGUAAUGAAGAUGAGCCGGCAAUGGAUGUACGAUGACCGUUGCUCUCCCAGUUCAUUAUUGUCGUGCAUACUUUUCUGAUUGCGGCUGAGGCAAACAAGCGGGCGGAUGGUUUUAUGCUUUGUCCAUGUGCUGGCUGUAAGAAUGAUCGGAAUUACUCUUAAGUUGAAAAUCAUUCACAUCCACCUGUUUGAGUCCGGUUUCAUGCCCCACUAUAAUGUUUGGACCAAGCACGGAGAAAGAUGGGUUAUGAUGGAAGACAAUGAAGAAGAAGAGGACGACGACAGCUAUUCUGGCCAUGGGUUCCCUGAAUACGAUGGUACAACAAUGGGGGAAGAAGCUGAGCCGGCAAUGCAAGAAGAAGCUGAAGAAGAGGCAUCAGAUGAGCCCGUUGAUGAUCUAGGUCGGGCCAUUGCCGACGCAAAGAGAAACUGCGCAAGUGAAAAGGAGAAGAAGAAGUUGCAGCGCAUAUUAGAGGAUCACAAAAAAUUGUUGUACCCGAAUUGCGAAGCUGACAAGAAAAAGCUGGGCACCACACUGGAAUUGCUGCAAUGGAAGGCAGAGAAUGGCGUAUCUGACAAGGGAUUUGGAAAGUUGCUGGUAAUGAUAAAGAAUAUGCUUCCAAAGGACAACGAAUCGCCCGAGAGUACGUACGAAGCAAAGAAGGCUGUCUGCCCUCUAGGGUUAGAGGUGCAGAAGAUACAUGCAUGCCCUAUUGACUGCAUCCUCUACCGCGGUGAGUACGAGGAUUUGAACCCGUGCCCGGUAUGCGGUGCAUUGCGCUAUAAGAUCAGCCGCGAUGACCCUGGUGAUGUCGAGGGCGACCGCCCCAGGAAAAAGAUUCCUGCCAAGGUGAUGUGGUAUGCUCCUAUAAUACCACGGUUGAAACGUUUCUUCCAAAACAAAGAGCAUGCCAAGGCGAUGCGAUGGCACAGAGAAGACCGUAAGAAAGACGGAAAGUUUAGAGUACCCGCUAAUGGGUCGCAGUGGUGAAAAAUUGAGAGAAAGUACAGGGAGGAGUUUGCAGGUGACGCAAGGAACCACUACAAAAAAAGACACAUCUGUGACAUUUUGGGCCGAACGAAUUUUUUCUGUCAUACUUAUGACACUUCUAUGACGAUAAUUAUGACAAAACCCGGUAUCAUCAUAGAUGUGGUGGGGUCCUACCUCUAUGACAAAAAAUCAUGACAAAAAUGGGCUUUUCCUCCUGGGCGGGCCAGAGACGCAGUUGCAUGACAUUCUUUGGGCCGUCCAUGACGGAAAAAACCGUGGUAGAAGCGAGGGCGAGGAAAAUAUCGGGGUGUUCCCGGUUACGGUGGGUGGUCGGGGGCCGAGCGAUGCGUGUUUCUCUCGUACGUACGCGCGUGUGUGAGAGGCGUUGCGCUCUAACUGAACCCGAGCGAGGCGUUGGGCUCUAACUGAACCUGAGCGAUUGCACUGCAGGCUACACGUUACUGAACCCGAGCGAUCGAUCGAUGGCUAUUAACUGAACCCGAUCGAGCGAUUCCUUCGCUACUGCCGCUAACUGAAGCCGAUCGAUGCUGCCUCUGGAUGAACAGUGAGUGUUGUUGGGGGGUUUGGAUGAACAGUUCCCAGUGGGGGUUGGAUGAACAGGAACCCGUGGUAGUAGAGGCCGUUGCCGCUGGAUGAACAGUACCCCGAUCGAUCGAGCCGGUGGAUGAACAGGACCCCGUGGAGGGCUGGAUGAACAGGACCCCGUGGAGGGCUGGUUGAACAGUAGCCGGUGGAGGGCUGGUUGAACAGUAGCCGGUGGAGGGCUGGAUGAACUAUAGCCCGUGGAGGGUUGGUUGAACAGGACCCCCGUGGAGAGGGCUGGUUGAAUAGUAGCCGGUGGAGGAGCGCGCGGUGGAGGCUGGAUGAAGAUGAGCCCGUGGAUGAACAGUCGCAGGUGGAGGUUAGAGGAGGUCGACGGUGGAUGAACUAUAGCCCGUGGAGGCUGGAGGAGGUCGACGGUGGAUGAAUAGUAGCCCGUGGAGUCCCGUUUUGCGGCACGCCACACCCCUCCCAAUGAACAGGACCCCUGUUUCGACCGUAGCGCUUCAACACAAGUCCGUUUCCUCCGUUUUGCGGUACGCCACACCCCUCCCGAUCAACAGGACCCCGUUUCCACCGUAGGAGGUCUGUUUCCUUCGUUUUGCGGUAAGCCAGACCCCUCCCGAUGAAUAGGAUCCCGUUUCCACCGUGGCCGGUCGAACAAAAGGCCGUUUCCCCCGUUCUGUGGUACGCCAGGCCUCGUUUCCAUCUUCUGUUCCGUCCAAGCCGGUUGGCUCCCGAUGAACAGCACGCGUUCCGUUGCCUCCCGAUGAACACGACGCAUUCCGUUGGCUCCCCAUGAACAUGAUGACGAUGCAGUUUCUUCGUUCCGACCCAGCCACAGCCAUGUACAUGAGCCCUGGCCGUACGUAUGUGCGAGUAGGCAUUCGAGACCCCACCCGUGUGUACGUACAUGGCCGUAUUUAUUUUCUUGCACCCUGGCCGCUGUACGUACGUGUACAUGCUAUGUGCGCGCCUCUACUACCACACGUGCGCGCCUCUACUACCACACGUGCGCGCCUCUACAUCAACCAGUAUGUACGUACACGUUCGCGACCAGAAUGACAUCGCUACGUACGCUUCGACCAGGUGGGUCCCGACUGUCAGGCACUUCCUUGCGUGCGAAGAUGUAGCUGGUGGGUCCCAGCAGUCAGGGGCAAAUUUUUUUUUUGCGAAAUACGGUGGCCCGUCCGGUGGGUCCCUGCUGUCAGGUGGAGGAAUAAUUAUUUUGCUCGUAAUAUCGAGGCACUUCCUUGCUGCGGCCGUGGACCCAACUGUCAGCCUCUCCAUGUACAGUACUCUUCCGAUGGAAGUCGUUCCUUGACCAUGUUGACCAUGCCGCUCCAAGAGCACCAAGGCUGUGGACGACGGCGAGGCCUAGGAAGGGGAUGACACGGAGCCGGGGAAGACGCGGCAGUGGAAGCCCACGCGGAGAGGAGUACGAGGGUUCACUGGUUCAGCUGCGGUGUGAGCUUGCCGUCGCCGCAGAAUAAUAGGGGGUGUGGGUGAGUAGAGGCGGACGGCCUGGCCAGUGGUGGGAGUAGUAGGGGGCGGUGAGGCCUCCGUGACAUCACAACCGACCAUGGGAGGUAGGAGCACGCGGCACGACCGGCGCUGGUUUGGGCGGCUGGAGCAAGAAGACCAGAGGUUGAAGAAGCACUACAACCGUUGGAUGGUCAUCGUACGGUCACUGGAGCUAGAAUCGUUCAUAUUGACUAAGUUGACAAAGCCCUCCGUCCCCGUCAACUUAGUAGGCCCACAAGUCAGCCUCCCACGCAGGGGGGUAUUCAUUUUUUGUGCGUAAUAAGGAGGCACUUCCUUGCGUGCGAAAAUAUAGCUGGUGGGUCUGAGCUGUCAGCGGGGGGAACAUUUUUUUGUGAAAUACAGAGGCCCUUCCGGUGGGUCCCAGAUGUUAGGUGGAGGAAUCAUUAUUUUGCGCGUAAUAAGGAGACAUUUCCUUGUGUGCGGCCGUGGACCUAGCUGUCAGCCUCUCCACGUACAGUUCAAUUCCGAUGGAUGUCGUUCGUUGACCACGUUGACCACGCCGCGCCGAGAGCACCAGGGCAGUGGAUGACGCCGAGGCCUACAAAGGGAACGACACGGAGCCGUGGAAGACACAGCAGUGGCUGCCCACGCGGUGGGGAGUACGAGGGUUGACUGGUUCGGCUGCCGUCGCCGGAAAAUAACAGGAUGUGUGGGUGAGUAGAGGGAUAGACAAGCUAGGGAUGCGAGUAUGGUGGGACCAUGAGGCCUGCGCGGCAGCACAGCCGGCCAUGGGAGGCGGGAGCAGGCGGUUCCGCCAGCGCUGGUUUGGGCGGCUGGAGCAGGAAGAUCAGAGACUAAAGAAGCAUGAUUGCCGUUAGAUUGACAUCUAACGGUCUGACGCUGGUAGAGUCGAUUGUUGACUAAGUUCCUUUUUUUGAGAAACCUUGUGUACGCAUGAACUUAGUAGGCCCACAAGUCAGCCUCCAAAUCCGUGGCAAACAACAUAGAUCCCAUUAGCUAAUUUUUUUAUAAUUUGCUGCCCAUUUGCUAAUUCUUAAGUAAUUUAUUACAACCCAUUUUCUGCCCAGGACCACGGUCAAAAAGUUCAACCUUAUUUUGCAUAUUUCAGUGGAGUCCGAACUAUUGUAAUCUAGAAAUGAUAAACAUUUUUUAAGAACUUAUUGAUUUGCCCAAAAAAUCGUUUUGUUUUUGUAAGCAAAUAAGACGUGGGACAAUUGAGUUCGUUUAAGGGAAAACCAGUGGUAAAGAAAUCAGCGCUAGGAGGGAAAACGACAACAAAAAUAAGGAUGUAAAUAUGAAAAGGGAACUUUAUGUAUUUUCAAUAUAAUGAUACGUGUAUGUGAACUAGUAAAACUAUAGGUAGAGAUUAGAAAACGGAUGUAGGACAUGGCGUUUCAAGAGGAAAACAGAACUGGGUUGUGUGUUUGAUUCAGUAAAAAAACUGCCUGCGGAUGUUGUAAGACAAAAUAUAACUAACGCUGGCGGGCCAGAGGCCAGUAGAUACCCGCUGGAUCUUUGUUCCCCGUUGUCGUUAUGGGCUGAGCCUGUUAAAAACAAAACCAAGCCUGGGCAGUCUACAGCCCAGUUGAAACUUGCUCGACCUGAAAAAACAAUAUACCUGCUCAACAAACGAGAGAAUUCUGCAAGUACAAACUGAUAACUGGGAUGUAGCAGGUAUAUUGUUUUUUCAUCGUGAUAAUAAGUGCAUGCACUUGUUUCAAAAAAAUGGAGAACUGGAAAUUCGAACGGCAGGUGCUUGAUACGUCUCCAACGUAUCUAUAAUUUUUGAUUGUUCCAUGCUAUUAUAUUAUCUGUUUUGGAUGUUUAAUGGGCUUUAUUAUACACUUUUAUAUUAUUUUUGGGACUAACCUACUAACCAAAGGCCCAGUGCAAAUUGUUGUUUCUUUUGCCUAUUUCAGUGUUUCAUAGAAAAGGAAUAUCAAACGGAAUCCAAACGGAAUGAAACCUUCGGGAGAGUGAUGUUUGGAACAAACACAAUCCAGGAGACUUGGAGUGGACGUUAAGAAAGGAACAAGGAGGCCACGAGGUAGGAGGGCGCACCCAGGGGGGUAGGCGUGCCCCCACCCUAGUGGGCCCCUCGUGGCUCCCCUGACCGACUUCUUUCGCCUAUAUAUACUCAUAUACCCCGAAAACAUCCGAGAGCACCACAGAACCCUAUUCCCACCGCCGCAACCUUCUGUACCCGUGAGAUCCCAUCUUGGGGCCUUUUUCGGCGCUCCGCCGGAGGGGGAAUCGAUCACGGAGGGCUUCUACAUCAACACCAUAGCCUCUCCGAUGAUGUGUGAGUAGUUUACCACAGACCUUCGGGUCCAUAGUUAUUAGCUAGAUGGCUUCUUCUCUCUCUUUCGAUCUCAAUACAAAGUUCUCCUUGAUCUUCUUGGAGAUCUAUUCGAUGUAAUUCUUUUUGCGGUGUGUUUGUCGAGAUCCGAUGAAUUGUGGGUUUAUGAUCAAGAUUAUCUAUGAAGAAUAUUUGAAUCUCCUCCGAAUUCUUUUAUGUAUGAUUUGUUAUCUUUGCAAGUCCCUUCGAAUUAUCAGUUUGGUUUGGCCUACUAGAUUGAUCUUUCUUGCAAUGGGAGAAGUGCUUAGCUUUGGAUUCAAUCUUGCGGUAUCCUUUCCCAGUGACAGCAGGGGCAGCAAGGCACGUAUUGUAUUGUUGCCAUUGAGGAUAAAAAGAUGGGGUUUAUAUCAUAUUGCUUGAGUUUAUCCCUCUGCAUCAUUUCAUCUUGCCUAAUGCGUUACUCUGUUCUUACGAACUUAAUACUCUAGAUGCAUGCUGGAUAGCGGUCGAUGUGUGGAGUAAUAGUAGUAGAUGUAGAAUCGUUUCGGUCUACUUGUCUCAGACGUGAUUCCUAUAUACAUGAUCAUGCCUAGAUAUUCUCAUAACUAUGCGCUUUUCUAUCAAUUGCUCGACAGUAAUUUGUUCACCCAUCGUAAUACUUAUGCUAUCUUGAGAGAAGCCACUAGUGAAACCUAUGGCCCCCGGGUCUAUUUUCCAUCAUAUAAGUUUCCAAUCUAUUUUAUUUUGCAAUCUUUACUUUUAAUCUAUAUCAUAAAAAUACCAAAAAUAUUUAUUUUAUUAUCUCUACCAGAUCUCACUUUUUCAAGUGGUCGUGAAGGGAUUGACAACCCCUUUAUCGCGUUGGUUGCAAGGUUCUUAUUUGUUUGUGUAGGUACGAGGCGACUUGCGUGUAGUCUCCUACUAGAUUGAUACCUUGGUUCUCAAAAACUGAGGGAAAUACUUACGCUACUUUGCUGCAUCACCCUUUCCUCUUCAAGGGAAAAUCAACGCAGUGCUCAAGAGGUAGUAAGAAGGAUUUCUGGCGCCGUUGCCGGGGAGAUCUACGCCAAGUCAAGUCAAGUCAAGACAUACCAAGUACCCAUCACAAACUCUUAUCCCUCGCAUUACAUUAUUCGCCAUUUGCCUCUCGUUUUCCUCUCCCCCACUUCUCCUUUGCCGUUUUAUUCGCUCUCUUUUUUCGUUCCCCUUUUUUCCGCUUGCUUCUUGUGUGCUUGUGUGUUGGAUUGUUUGUCACGAUGGCUCAAGGUAAUACUAAAUUGUGUGAUUUUUCCAAUACCAACAACAAUGAUUUUCUUAGCACUCCGAUUGCUCCUAUUACCGAUGUUGAAUCUUGUGAAAUUAAUGCUGCCUUGCUGAAUCUUGUCAUGAAAGAUCAAUUCUCUGGCCUUCCUAGUGAAGAUGCCGCUACACAUCUAAACAACUUUGUUGAUUUGUGUGAUAUGCAAAAGAAGAAAGAUGUGGAUAAUGAUAUUGUUAAAUUGAAGCUAUUUCCGUUUUCGCUUAGAGAUCAUGCUAAAACUUGGUUUUCGUCUUUGCCUAAAAAUAGUAUUGAUUCUUGGAAUAAGUGCAAAGAUGCUUUUAUCUCUAAGUAUUUUCCUCCCGCUAAGAUCAUCUCUCUUAGAAAUUAUAUUAUGAAUUUUGAGCAACUUCAUCAUGAACAUGUUGCACAAUCUUGGGAGAGGAUGAAAUUAACGAUUCGCAACUGCCCUACACAUGGUUUGAAUUUAUGGAUGAUUAUACAAAUUUUUUAUGCCGGAUUGAAUUUUGCUUCUAGAAAUCUUUUAGAUUCGGUCGCGGGAGGCACUUUUAUGGAAAUCACUUUAGGAGAAGCUACUAAACUCCUAGAUAAUAUUAUGGUUAAUUAUUCUCAAUGGCACACCGAAAGAUCUAUUAGUAAAAAGGUUCAUGCGAUAGAAGAGAUUAAUGUUUUGAGUUGAAAGAUGGAUGAACUUAUGAAAUUGUUUGCUAAUAAGAGUGCUUCUUCUGAUCCUAAUGAUAUGCCUUUGUUGGCUUUGAUUGAGAAUAAUAAUGAAUCUCUGGAUGUGAAUUUUGUCGGUAGGAACAAUUUUGGUAACAACGCUUAUAGAGGAAACUUUAAUCCUAGGCCGUUUCCUAGUAAUAAGAUGCCCUCUGAUUUUGAGACUAGUGUUGAAGAAUUUAUGAUUUCUCAAAAGAAUUUCAAUGCUUUGCUUGAAGAAAAAUUGCCUAAGAUUGAUGAGUUGGCUAGGAACGUGGAUAGAAUUUCUCUUGAUGUUGAUUCAUUGAAACUUAGAUCUAUUCCACCUAAGCAUGAUGUCAAUGAGUCUCUCAAAUCUAUGAGAAUUUCCAUUGAUGAGUGCAAGGAAAGAACCGCUAGGAUGCGUGCUAAGAAAGAUUGCUUUGCAAAAGCGUGUUCUUCUAGUUUUCAUGAUAAUAGGGAUGAAGAUCUAAAAGUGAUUGAUGUGUCUCCUACUAAAUCUUUGUUUUGCUUUAUGAAUCUUGAUAAUGUUGGGACUGAAGAUGAGUCAACUUUAGUUAAAAGGCGUCCCAAUGAUUCAGAGUUUUUAGAUCUAGAUGCAAAAUUGGUAAAAGUGGGAUUGAAGAGGUCAAAACUUUACAUAGCAAUGAACCCACUAUUUUGGAUUUCAAGGAAUUUAAUUACGAUAAUUGUUCUUUAAUAGGUUGUAUUUCCUUGUUUCAAUCCGUGUUAAAUUCUCCUCAUGCUUAUAGUCAAAAUAAAGCUUUUACCCAACAUAUCGUUGAUGCUUUAAUGCAAUCUUAUCAAGAAAAGCUUGAAUUAGAAGUCUCUAUCCCUAGAAAGCUUUAUGAUGAGUGGGAACCUACUAUUAAAAUUAAGAUUAAAGAUCAUGAAUGCUAUGCUUUGUGUGAUUUGGGUGCUAGUGUUUCCACGAUUCCAAAAACUUUGUGUGAUGUGUUAGGUUUCCGUGAAUUUGAUGAUUGUUCUUUAAACUUGCACCUUGCGGAUUCCACCAUUAAGAAACCUAUGGGAAGGAUUAUUGAUGUUCUUAUUUUUGCAAAUAGGAAUUAUGUGCCCAUAGAUUUCAUUGUUCUUGACAUAGAUUGCAAUCCUACAUGUCCUAUUAUUCUUGGUAGACCUUUUCUUAGAACGAUUGGUGCAAUUAUUGAUAUGAAAGAAGGAAAUAUUAGAUUCCAAUUUCCGUUAAGGAAAGGCAUGGAACACUUUCCUAGAAAUAAAAUUAAAUAACUUAUGAAUCUAUUAUGAGAGCCACUUACAGGUUGCAUACCAAAGAUGAUAAUACCUAGAUCUAUUCUUGCCUUUAUGCCUAGCUAGGGGCGUUAAACGAUAGCGCUUGUUGGGAGGCAACCCAAUUUUAUUUUAGUUUCUUGCUUUUUGGUUUUGUUUAGUAACAAAUAAUUCAUCUAGAUUCUGUUAAGAUGUGUUUUUAUGUUUUAAUUAGUGUUUGUGCCAAGUAGAACCUUUGGGAAGACUUGGGUGAAGUCUUUAUGAUCUUGCUGUAAAAAACAGAAACUUUAGCACUCACGAGAUUAGCUACAACUUUUUACUAGAGAGUGAUUUUAGGUUGAUUCUUUUUGCAGUUGAUUAAUAGACAAAUUCCUCACGUCCACCAAUUUAUUUAAUAAUUGUUGGAGUUCUAGAAGUAUACGUUUGAUCCAGAUUACUACAGACUGUUCUGUUUUUCGUGUGUUGUUUGCUUAUCUUGAUNNNNNNNNNNNNNNNNNNNNNNNNNNNNNNNNNNNNNNNNNNNNNNNNNNNNNNNNNNNNNNNNNNNNNNNNNNNNNNNNNNNNNNNNNNNNNNNNNNNNNNNNNNNNNNNNNNNNNNNNNNNNNNNNNNNNNNNNNNNNNNNNNNNNNNNNNNNNNNNNNNNNNNNNNNNNNNNNNNNNNNNNNNNNNNNNNNNNNNNNNNNNNNNNNNNNNNNNNNNNNNNNNNNNNNNNNNNNNNNNNNNNNNNNNNNNNNNNNNNNNNNNNNNNNNNNNNNNNNNNNNNNNNNNNNNNNNNNNNNNNNNNNNNNNNAUGAACCAUAGAGAAGUUGUAAUACAGUAGGUUUAACACCAAUAUAAAUAAAUAAUGAGUUCAUUACAGUACCUUAAAGUGGUGGUUUGUUUUCUUGCACUAACGGAGCUCAUGAGAUUUUCUGUUGAGUUUUGUGUUGUGAAGUUUUCAAGUUUUGGGUAAAGAUUUGAUGGAUUAUGGAAUAAGGAGUGGCAAGAGCCUAAUCUUGGGGAUGCCCAAGGCACCCCAAGGCACCCCAAGGUAAAAUUCAAGGACAACCAAAAUCCUAAGCUUGGGGAUGCCCCGGAAGGCAUCCCCUCUUUCGUCUUCAUCCAUCGGUAACUUUAGUUGAUGCUAUAUUUUUAUUCACCACAUGAUAUGUGUUUUGCUUGGAGCGUCUUGUAUGAUUUGAGUCUUUACUUUUUAGUUUACCACAAUCAUCCUUGAUGUACACACCUUUUGGGAGAGACACACAUGAAUCGGAAUUUAUUAGAAUACUCUAUGUGCUUCACUUAUAUCUUUUGAGCUAGAUAAUUUUGCUCUAGUGCUUCACUUAUAUCUUUUAGAGCACUGUGGUGGUUUUAUUUUAUAGAAAUUAUUGAUCUCUCAUGCUUCACUUAUAUUAUUUUGAGAGUCCUUUAGAACAUCAUGGUAGUUUGCUUUGGUUAUAAAAUUAGUCCUAAUAUGAUAGGCAUCCAAGAUCGGUAUAAUAAAAACUUUCAUAAAAGUGCAUUGAAUACUAUGAGAAGUUUGAUACUUGAUGAUUGUUUUGAGAUAUGAAGAUGGUAAUAUUAGAGUCGUGCUAGUUGGGUAGUUGUGAAUUUGAGAAAUACUUGUGUUGAAGUUUGCAAGUCCCGUAGCAUGCACGUAUGGUAAACGUUAUGUGACAAAUUUGAAACAUGAGGUGUUCUUUGAUUGUCAUCCUUAUGAGUGGCGGUCGGGGACGAGCGAUGGUCUUUUCCUACCAAUCUAUCCCCCUAGGAGCAUGCGCAUAGUGCUUGGUUUUUGAUGACUUGUAGAUUUUUGCAAUAAGUAUGUGAGUUCUUUAUGACUAAUGUUGAGUCCAUGGGUUAUACGCACUCUCACCUUUCCAUCAUUGCUAGCCUCUUCGGUACCGUGCAUUGCCCUUUCUCACCUUGAGAGUUGGUGCAAACUUCGCCGGUACAUCCAAACCCCGUGAUACGAUAUGCUCUAUCACACAUAAACCUCCUUAUAUCUUCCUCAAAACAGCCACCAUACCUACCUAUUAUGGCAUUUCCAUAGCCAUUCCGAGAUAUAUUGCCAUGCAACUUUCCACCGUUUCAUUUAUUAUGACACGCUUCGUCAUUGUCAUAUUGUCUUGCAUGAUCAUGUAGUUGACAUCGUAUAUGUGGCAAAGCCACCAUGCAUAAUUUAUCAUACAUGCCACUCUUGAUUCAUUGCCCAUCCCGGUACACCGCCGGAGGCAUUCGUAUAUAGUCAUAUUUUGUUCUAGUAUCGAGUUGUAAUCAUUGAGUUGUAAGUAAAUAGAAGUGUGAUGAUCAUAAUUAAUAGAGCAUUGUCCCAAAUAAAAAAAGAAGAAACAAAAGAACAAAGGCCAAAUAAAAAAAGAAAGGCCAAAAAAAAGAGAAAAGAAAUAAAAAGGGACAAUGCUACUAUCCUUUUUUUUCACACUUGUGCUUCAAAGUAGCACCAUGAUCUUUAUGAUAGAGAGUCUCUUGUUUUGUCACUUUCAUAUACUAGU